ACGCCCGGACGUGGCCUUGGCUGCUGGCGGCAAGACGGUGGCCGUCGCAGCUAGUGCUGCCCACCUCCAGCGCACCCAACGGCAGGCCAAGGUUCUGGCUGAACUUUGAUUCUAAGUAAGAUUGAGCUGAUGUCUCUUUACUAAAUCAACUCAUGAUGCUGAUGUAUAAUUGCUCUCCCUCUUUAUUUGUCAGCAACUAGAGCUCAAAAAGCUGCUAUUGUGCUUCAUUUGAUAGCAAGUGGAGCUAAAAAAUUCUGCUACUGUGCUUUAUUUAACAGCAAGUUGAGCUAAAGAAUUCUGUUAUUGUGCUUCAGUUGACAGCAAGUGGAGCUAAAAAAAUUCUGCUAUUGUGCUUCAUUUAACAGCAAGUAGAGCUAAAAAGUUAUGCUAUUGUGCUUCAUUUAACAGCAAGUAGAGCUCAAAAAUUCUGCUAUUAUGCUUCAUUUAACAGCAAGUAGAGCACAAUAAUUCUUCUAUUAUGCUUUAUGUAACAGCAAGAACAUUUGCACUUAUUUUAUAGCAAGAAGAGUUCUAAAAUUCAGCUAUUAAACAUAAACCACACAUAAGAGUAGAGGGAAUGGAUAUUUUGACAGUAGCAGAAACACGUAUCACACUACAAAACCACAAGUCCACACAUAACUAGUGAUUUGAACUAUUAAUAGUAACUAGUACACACUGACAGUAGCAUCCAAAAGGCAACUACAUCCACCAUAAGCUUUAGUAAUUCCCACUAGCUGUAAAGAAGGCCAUAAACCCAGUUUCUGAGCCUCUCCCUCUCCCAGUUCCUCCCACACUUCCUCUGCCAUUGCCUCUCCCUCUAACUGCAGUUGUGCUACCUCUAGGGACAUCAUUGUUAGUUGUUGAUGAACUUCUAGGAGGUAUAAACCUGGAUGUUGUAGCUUGAGAGCUUGCUGCAACUUGAGAGGGUGCAGCUUGAGAUCUUGCUGCAGAUUGAGACCUUGCUGCAACUUGAGAUCUUGUUGGGCCUGAAGCUCUAGCUGCUGCAGCCUUGCUUGUAGAUGCAUCUGUCUGUGCUUGCUGCAAGGAAAACAGAUCAGUCAAACAACAAUUGCACUUUUUUGUAAAAGACCAACACAGCAUGAAAAUAAAAUUACCUCUGUUUCCCUCACUUUUCUCCCUCUCUUCCCAAGAUAUGACUUUCUUUUCUUGGCGUUAUCUCCUUUCUUUUUACAGGAAGUUUUGUUGUGCCCCUGACCACCACAACUUCCACAUGUGAUCUGUAUGCCAUGCUUGCUCAGUUUCUUCCCCUUGGGUGCUUCCCCCUCUUCUCUCUUCCUAUCAUUGUUCUUUUUCCUGGCUCCUGGCAUGGCAAUGUAGCCAGGUGCUACUGGCCUAGGGUUUUGAGACAUAGGCCAGCUUUCUUCUCCUUCAACUGGUUGCAGGCAAUGCUCAUAUUUUUUUUUGAAAGUAUCAAUGUAGUAGCACUUGUCAAUGAAAUCCUCUACUUUUCUUCCACUCUUAUAGAUAGCACAAAUUGCAUGACAACAAGGAAGGCCUGCAAGCUGAAAGGAACCACAUGAGCAAGUCCAUUUCUCAAGGUUAACAGUGUACCUCCUACCUCUGCUAUUCAAAUGCUUCACCUCAAAACCAUCCUUUCCAUUCCAGAGCACCUCCAAGAACUGAGUUCUCUUGAUAUUGGCCUUAAUCUUCUUGAAGAUGUUUGGGCAAAUUAUGCCAUUCCACUUCUCACUCUUUGUUUUCUGCUCUUGAACUCUAACCAUCAAUUUUUUCCUAAUCUUUUCUUGCUGUGAAAUAAUGGGGUGGAACCUAGCUUCUAUGAUGGCAUUAUUAAAUGAUUCACAAGGGUUGUUGUCACCUGACUCACAAUUUGCUCCUUUUGGAAAGAAAGCCCUAGCCCAAUGCUUUGGGUCUGUCUUCAUGAUAUCUUUUGCACCUUCUGGAGUUGGUUGAGCAAGCUUGGCCUUGUUGUAGUUGAAGUCUUCUCUGUUUGCAGACUUAGCAAUUGCCCAAAACCUUUUCUGCAAUUGAUGAUCUUUAUGCUUCUUUCUCCAGUUAGCAUAGAUGUGCCUAGCACACAUCCUAUGCUCUACCUUAGGCAGAUAGUCUCUCAUGCUAUUAAUUAAGCCCUGUAGUAGACAUAAGUAUUUAUUAGUAAAAUAAAGUAGUAGGGCUAGGACUAGUACAAUGAGGCAGUAAAUAAAUUUAACCUUUUGCUUAUCAGAAAUAAAGACCCAUCCAGCUCCUUGAUCGUUAAUGUCCAAGUCUUUGAUUAAAAGACCAAUGAACCAGGCCCAACUCUCAUUUGUCUCCUUCUCCACAACAGCCCAAGCUACUGGAUACAUUUGGUUGUUUGCAUCCCUACCUAUUGCAGCCAGUAGCUCACCUUGGCAGGCUCCCUUGAAGAAACAACCAUCUAGCCCAAUCACUUUCCUACACCCAGCUUUAAACCCUUGCUUCAUAGCAUUGAAACAUACAUAGAAUUGUUGAAAAAUAUUUUCUUCCUUCUCUUUUGGAUCCAAGCAAACAGCCACAGUACUCCCAGGGUUGCUCCUAAGAAGUUCCAACUGAUAAUCAAACACCUUGUUGUACUCAGUUUUCAUACCACUCAUCAGCUGGUCAAGUACAAGUUUUUUUGCUGCCUUGCACUUUGAAAUGGACACAUCAACAAACAUGUCUUUCAUCACUAUGGCUUUCAUACUAUCAAUCUUCCACAAAGGAUUUGCCAGGAUGAAGUGCUCAUACCUUUUGGCAAUGACCUUAGUAGUAACCAGUUUGUUGUCUCUGUUUUGUGCACAUUGGUGUUCAUCUUCAAAUGUGAUGAUUUGAAACCUAGAACACCUGCUGGUCUUAGCUGCAUACAACAUCCAGGGACACCCAGGCCAAUCACAUUUUGCUCUAACUCUGGCCUCCUCUGACUUUAAAAAUGAAAUGCUUCUUUUGGUAGCAAGCCCAUAUCUCUUCAUAGCUCUAGUCAAUUGUUUCUUGCUUUUAAAAACCAUUCCAAGACUAAAAUGAGGAAUGUCAGAGUCUGGGUUAAACCUCACAAACUGGCUCUUCCUCCUAACCAUGUUGCCAUCCUCAUCCUCAUCAUAGGAGUAGUCUUCAUCUGAUGACUCAAACUCCAUGUCCUCCACAACUUCCUCCACAUUUGCUACCAAAUCAAUGGGCACAGCCCCUGUUGCAUCUGCAUCAGCCCACAUCUUGAAAUCUCCCAUCUUUUUCCUAAAUUUUCUUGCAUGUUUUCUCAUCUCAACAACCUCUGAUUCUUCCCCACUAUCAUCAGUAUGUGGCACAUACUCAUAGUCCUCUGAGUCCUCUGAAUCUGAACCAUUUUCUGCCACUUUAGCAACUGAACUAGAUAUGUCUUGGGCUGCUUGACAUGGUUGACUUACAUUAAGAACUUGAGAACUCUGAGUAGGAUAAUCAACUCUCACAUUUUGCUUCAAUGGACUGUUUAUCACCUGAGUAAUCGCACCACCUACAUCAGGAACAAAUAUAUGCUCAAUAAUUUCUCCUGCAGUACCAGUCUGUUCAGUGGCAUUUACAUUAUCAUUGACUUCAGCACUACAAUCUUCGGCUGUGAUAACUGCAUCAGGUUCUUCUUCACUGCCAAUGUUCAUCAGUUCAUCAAGCUCAUCCUCAAAAUCUGACCCACUGUCUAUUUCUCCUUGUUCUUCUUCUUCACCAUUGUACUCCACAUAUAUUUCACCAACUCCCCCCUCUGUAAUGUAGUCAGACACCUUCAUGCAGCCACCAUCAUCAUGUAAAAAAAGCAAUCCAUUUACCAAAUCUCUGCCAGGCAACAGGAAAUAGUACUUCAUGCUCUCCUUCACUGUCAUAUGAUCUCCUAAAAACCCUUUCAGCUCCUGCAAAGAGAGCUUGUCCCGCUCAAUCUCUGACAUUCCAGUUUCUCCCCCAACAUAAUCUAGACUUGGACCAAUUCGUAUGAACUAACCCCCAAAGUGAAAUCUAACAUUCAAGAUCUCUGCCGGGUCCAUGAUUUCAACAAGAAAACCCUACAUUACAAGCAAAGCAACUAAUGCAUCAGUGAUUGUCGGCCGAUUCAAACACCCAAAAACCCCAACUUGAUCUCACUGUAGAACCCUAAACCUAGCCCACAGAGAGGGGAAAAAAGGCCAAACGCAAUAGAAGGAAGAACAUCACAUACCUGAUUCUACUCUGUUGGAGUGCUCGUCAGAGAUGGCCGCGAUCAUCCGUCCUUCGCCAUGGCCGCCGCGGAGAAGUUGACGCGUCAGGCUGCAGGGAAGCGAGGCGAGGGGGGGAACAGAGAGCGACGGGGAGGCGGAGCUGGGCCGGCUCAACCAGAUUUGGCCCGCGCCGCGGCCAGUGGACCCACACCCCCAGGCUGACUCAGCAAUCCCUGUUUGGGAAUGGGCUUAAGGGAUGUGACAACCGGGAUUUGAGAGGUGGGGGUGUCGAUUUCAGGGAUUAGGAGUUGGGGGUUCGAUUCCGACGGGUCGUACAAAGACAGGGUUUGUUUCUGACUUCACUCGCUACUAUUCAACAUCCAGCGGGCCGCGCACAACCCAAUCAUCUGUAGAGCAGCCUCAGAAUGGGAUCCAGUUGCAAACCAAUCUGGGUUAUUGGUGAGGACACAAGUAUCCCCUACCCAUCAUAGUUUAUGUUCCAGAUUUGGUAUUGCUGCUUGCAUUUUUCGGGAUUUAUACCUUUCGGCGAUGUGCAUUUAGUAGAAGGAGACGUUUCCAUCGACUACGAAACGUCGUCAAUCUCAAGAUGAUGUGCUGGCUUAGUUUCUCGAAAGUGCUCAUAAGGAUACAGUGUGCAUGCGUGUGUGUUUUUAUAGGGGUGCGUGUAUGUGAGCAACUUUGAUUGUACUAUGUUCAGAAAACAAAGGGUCCAGCUAAGCUAAGAGUAUCUACAGUCAGACUUUAAAGAAUUCGCCCCCCUAGACAUCAUGAGAACGUGCUUGGGCACGUCCGCGGCUUAAAUAUGCUCUUUCACAAACGGAUACAUCAUUACCAGCUCAUCAAAUUCAUACAAUUAUAUGCAACGUAAACCUACUCUAAAUCUUUGAUAACGCUCGUUCGCUUCCAAGUCCAUGUUUCCGUAUGUGUGUCUGUGUCCAUGUCCAGCUAAUGCGAGACCCACGAAGUGAAGGUCCGGUUGCCGGUGAGGUAGAGUAGGACAUGGGACAGAAGGCGCCACUGUCUCACAUACCCUACUCUUCCUCGUCAAAGUCCAUGGCCUCGACGUCGCCGGUCGAGGUGAGGUCCACGAUAGACCCUUCUUUAUCGGAGCCCGACACCUCGACGACUUGGUUGUUGCGCCAACGGUUGUCGGCAACCCGUCCCAGCUCUGCGGCGACGUGGGACUUCGCCUCUGUGGCCUCGGCCACGAGGGCUGCAGCGGCAUCCUGCGCCCUUUCACUAGCAUUGUGCGCACGCCACGCCAUUUAAAGGUGCGGGGCGGGACAAUGCAUGUCGUUGUUUACCUCUGACUCUGAAUCCAAUGACGCGGGAAAGAUGCGCCACCGAACGGGCUGUGCCAUCGCCCAACAUUGGGGCGCCAGACGGACCGCACCACGCCCGGCCAGGCAGCGGUGAAGCGCCUCCCACCGUAUCCAAGCGUCAUUCGGCGGGCGAAAUGGAUUCCCCUCGGCUCGAGUCCGACCGCGGUCCGGCGGACUCCUCCUGGGAGCGAUGGAGAGUUGUGCAGACGACCAUCUCAUUCUGGGGCCCGUAUGGGAUGAGGUUCCAGUCCGCAGAUCGUGAGAACUCAGAGUCGAAUCCACUGCACGUCAUGUUGGAGAUCACCGAAAGGGAGCUUGGGGCAGAGUGAAGUGGAGUGGCUAGGGUUUGGUCCGGGAUGAGGAUGAGGAUGAAUAUAUGAGGGGUCGGGGUGGGCCAGAUCCGACGGAACGGACGUGCGCGGGUCUUGCCACAUUUGAGAUGGAUAUAAAGGGUGCCUGUNNNNNNNNNNNNNNNNNNNNNNNNNNNNNNNNNNNNNNNNNNNNNNNNNNNNNNNNNNNNNNNNNNNNNNNNNNNNNNNNNNNNNNNNNNNNNNNNNNNNNNNNNNNNNNNNNNNNNNNNNNNNNNNNNNNNNNNNNNNNNNNNNNNNNNNNNNNNNNNNNNNNNNNNNNNNNNNNNNNNNNNNNNNNNNNNNNNNNNNNNNNNNNNNNNNNNNNNNNNNNNNNNNNNNNNNNNNNNNNNNNNNNNNNNNNNNNNNNNNNNNNNNNNNNNNNNNNNNNNNNNNNNNNNNNNNNNNNNNNAGGGCUCAACUAUUUACUUUCUCUUUUCUCGUAUUAACUCUCGACCACUUGGUUUAGUUCCAACCGAUGUAACCAACAAGGAAAGCUCACUUGUUGUGCCUAGUCAUUUUUUUUGUUCUAGUUGUCCGUGUUUUAUGUUUCCUUUUCUUUUCACUAGAACAAUGCCCUGCCAAUAAUAAUACGGUUGUGUAACAAAUGUUAAUCAAAUUCUGACUGUGAAUUACCUUAUAUUUUGAUUAGAAGUUUGGUAAAUUAAAGUAGAAUUGGUUCAGAAGGUAAGUAAAUUAAGGUGAUUGAUUAUCAUAUACAUGAAAGGUUGGAUGAAGGCGUGGUGGGAAGAAAGGUGAAAUGAGAACCUUACUUUUUUUAAGUAGUAGAGAUUUUGUUUGGCCGUUUUUCCUUUGGUCUAUUUAUUAUUAUUUUCUUCUUCUCUUUUUGUAUUUUCUUUUCUUUUCCAUUUACUUAAAUUCGUGAUUUUCUAAAAUUGUGAAUUUGUUUUCAAAUCCAUGAAUAUUUUCUUUAAUUUAUGAACUUUUUUCAAAUCCAUGAACUUUUUUUAAUCUUUUUUCAAACAUGAGAACGUUUUUCAAUUUCACAAAAAAAUCAAAUUCAUGAUAUUUUUUUUUCAAAUUAUUAACAAAUCAAUGAAAUUUUUUCAAAUUCAUGAUUAUUUUUGUUAAAAUCGUGUGUUUUCAAAUCAAUGAACCUUUUUUUUCAAAUUCAUGUAUUGUUUUAUAAAAACAUGAUUUUUUUUCAAUUUCAAUAACUUUUUUUAAACUUGCAAACUUUUCUUUAAUCCAUGAAUAUGUUUUUGAAUUUUCAAAACCAACAACUGGUUUUUUACUUCACAAAUCAGCAGAGAAGAGAAAAGUAAGAAAAUACAGCGAGCAAAUGAAAACAAACGUUGAGGUACUUGCAACUUUUGUUUUUAACACAGUACGGACGCAAGCGCUCAUAUACACGCGCCUACAAUCACCCCUAUGAAUACACACACGCACAUCCUACCCCUAUGAGCACCUUCGCAAGAAUGAGCCGGCAUAUCAUCUUGAAAUUUACGAAGUCAACGUAGGCACCUCGUCGUCGAUGGAAACGUCUUCUCCCACUGAAUGCGCAUUGCCGGAAAUCCUGAAAUAAAUUCAGGAAAAAAUGCAAGCAUCAGGACUUGAAUCCUAGUGAGCUGGGGAUACCACAGUGCCUCUAACCAUCCACGUUUGUUCGCAAGGUACUUGCAACUGACGAGCAUAAGCGGUUAACGUGAAGCAAAGGAGUGAGGUACUUGGGCUGCGGCCCACUAAGGCUGGCAUGAGAGCCAACAUUUCUUUGUGGCGCUUAAGGUGCACAAAGGACCCCUAAAAAAAAGUGCACAAAGGUUAGCUAGCCGCCACCCUUGGAUCUAGAGAGAGGAGCUAUAGAGGGUGACCUAUCAACUCGCAUCAUCAGGCAUUAUUUUUAGAAAUGCUAAAAAUCUGACGGCGGGUUUUUGACAUUUCUGAUAGACCAAAGGACACGAAUUAUCUGUUACUGAAUUACAGAGACACAGCACGUGAUUUCAGCACAUUGAUCGCACAGUAACGGAUCACAAAUGGCUCUCUUCUUGCAGCUGACUCGUAUCCGAGGACUUGACCCGUUGUGAAUUGUGAUGGCGACAAGUGAUGGAGCGAUGAGACGAAGAUAAGUUCUUUGCUUUGUUUUGACCUGGACACGAAGAUAAGGCUUUUUGCUUUGUUUUGACCUGGACACGAAGAUAAGUUUUUGCUUUGUUUGACCUGGACACGAAGAUAAGUUUGAUCUCUACAACCCAAGUGUAUGCGUCUUUUUCUUUGAAAUGUCUCGAGGAGCGGAACAGAAUGCAACUGUGGAUUGCGUGACGCAGCAGGACGGGAGAGGCAGACCAGAAGUCUCCUUUUCUCUUCCCGGGGUUUCAGAAGACUAUUCCGAGUUUUGUUCAGAGAAGACAAGCGCAUCUUUGAACAAUCCUGUUGGGAUAAGCAGCAGCUCGGGCUAGUACGUCUCAUCUGUGCAGAGAAGCAUCUUCCAAGAUGUCGCCGUUCAGUCGUUCAAAGUACAGGUUAGGGCGGCCGUGAGAAUUGUGGUUGGAUUGGAUUGGUUAUCUUCUACUCUACUCUACUAUUUCCGUGACAAAGAAUGUGAAUGUGAGACGUUGCUGGCUGGCUGCUGUAGCCUAUACUGCUGCUGCUGUUAAGCGGCUGUGUUUUUUUUUUCCUGAACCGAAAACCGUAGAAUAAUCGUUCUAUGGCAAAUAUAUUAAAUAUUAAAACAAGAUACAAAAAGUUCAGGCAGCAUACAACAGAUUAACCAAUACCAGCUCCUGGGAAACCCAUCAUGAUAUAUUAGAGUUAGUUGAGGUGCUCUUCAAUCCAACUUGUCAACAAGUCUGAAUAUAUACUUCUGAUCGUGUGCUUCAUUAGUAAUAGAUCAAUCUUUUUUUUCGCGAAUACGCAGAGGAUACGUAUCUUUGCAUUGAUAGGAGAAGAGUUUUAUAGCAUGGGGUUACAAUAGCUCACUAAGCCAUGUACACAAGAAGGCAUGGAAGUGAAUUAGGAGCAGAACAGACAUGGGGGUGCUCAGCCCCAGGAGCCUACAAAGCUAUCUCUCGGGAAUAAUGUUGUGCAGUCCGGUGGCGCCAGCCUUGGCCCACAUGCGCGCCUCGUCUCUGAUGAUGCCGAAAAGCCGGGAGGUGGGGGUUGCUCGCCAUCAAAUAUGCAAGCGUUCCGGUGCUUCCAAAGCCACCAGGCGGUGAGAAUGAUCAAGGAGGCCAAGCCCUUGCGCGCCGGGGAUGGUGAGCGGUUGCAGGACGUCUCCCACCAAGUGUAGAAGUCAGUGUCGCUGCUCGGGAUGUCAGCCCUGGAGUGAACCCAGCUUAAGAUCUCGUGCCAGAUUUGUCGAGAGAAGGGGCAGCCUGCCAGGAGGUGUUGCAUGGUCUCCUCCUCUUGGUCGCAGAAGGCGCAGGAGUCCUCGUGCGGGAGGCCAUGCCGAGCAAGGCGUUCAGCCGUCCAGCACCGGUCUUGCAGUGCUAGCCAGAUGAAGAAUUUCAUGCGGAGAGGGCCCCAUGGUUUCCAGGUGAGCUGCCAAUGCGGGUCCUGGCAGGCACCUAGGAAGAGCGCCUGGUAGCAUGAGCUCGCCGAGUAGGUAGCGGAAGUGGUCCAGCGCCAAUGAAGGGAGUCAGGCGAGUCCGAGAGAGCGACGUGACGCACGCAGGUCCAGAGGUCGACAUAUUGGACGAGAGCGGCGGGUCCCAGAGCGCCCUGGAUGUCGCGAACCCAGGAGCACUGGAGAAGGCCAUCGUGCACGGUGCGAGUCUUGGGCCGCCUCCGGGUGACGAGCGCGAGGACGAGCGGCGCGAUCUGGGCAACAGGUCUGCCAUUGAUCCAGUGAUCGCUCCAGAACAUGCAAGUGCGGCCGUCGCCAAUUGUCCAGGUUGUAGAAGCACGGAAGAUGGUGGUGACGGCAGGGUCAUGGGGAAUGUGAAGGUGGCUCCAUGGCCGCGUCAAGUCGGUAUACUUGAGCCAUAGCCAGCGAGUUCUCAACACGAUGCCGGCGCGUUACAGGUCAUGGACGCCAAGGCCGCCUACAGAAAGCGGGUGGCACCAAGCAUUGGCCACCAUUGGCAUCUUUGCUCCCAGCCUAGAGAAAGCCGCGGAUGAUACGGUUGGCCUUCUUGAGUAUGGAGGGGUUGAAGGCGAUGGCGGUGAGGAAGUGCGUGGGGAUGGCACAUAAGACAUGGCGGACAAGGGCGAGCCGGUCGCCAGGAGAGAGGAGGGAGGCCCGCCAGGUGGAGAGCUUACGCUCCAGCUUGUGGAUGAUCGGCAUGAGACUCGUAGUAGACGGCUUGCGAAUGGACAGGGGGAGUCCCAAAUAUUGAAUUGGGAAUUUCUUCACCGGGCAUUGCAUCUCGGAAGCGAUGGUUGCGAUGUCCUCGUCGUUGCAUUGGAUGGGGUGGCUGAGCACUUGUUGUAGUUGAUGUGCAGCCCGGAGGCCACCCCAAAGAUCCGGAGUAGCUCACGGACGGCCGAGAUGCCGUGGUGGUCAGGGCGGCAGAAGAUGACGACGUCGUCAGCAUAAAGAGAGAUGCUAGAGGCCGCGUGCCGCGUGGUCGGCCGCUAGAUGAGGCUGAGCUCAACGGCCCGGAUGAGCAUGGAGUUGAGGACGUCGAUGACGAGGGUGAAAAGCAUCGGGGAGACCGGGUCGCCUUGGCGAAGGCCGCAGGCGUGGUAGAUCAGGGGGCCCGGGUGACCGUUGAGCAUGACUUGGGUGGAGGCGGUGGAUAGAAGUAUCGAGAUCCAGUCGCGCCAACAUUGGCCAAAUCCAAGGUGUUGUAGAGUCUCGGGGAGGAAGGGCCAUGAGACACUGUCGAAGGCUCGCACGAUGUGGAGCUUCAGAAGCAUGCGGGGCACCUUGAGGUUGUGGAGGAGACGCGUCGUCUGCUGAACAAGCAGGAAGUUGUCGUGGAUACACCGGUCGGCGAUGAAAGCGCCCUGGUUAGUCGAAGCCAUGGUCCCGAGCCGAGGGGCGAGCCGCAGAGACAACACCUUUGCGAAUAGUUUUGCAAUGAGGUGGAUGAGGCUAAUGGGGUGAUAGUCGGAUAGGGCAGCGGCGUCCGGCCACUUGGGUAGGAGAGUGAUGAGUGCUUCAUUUAGCUUUUGGAACCCACGCCCAUUGGCGGUAUAUAGCUUCUCGAAAGCCUCGCAGAUGUCGUGCUUGAUGAUAUCCCAACAGGCACAGAGAAACUCGGCCGUGAAUCCAUCCGGGCCGGGAGCCUUUCCGGUCAGUAGACUUUUAACGACCCGCCAAAUCUCGUCCUUCAUGAAAGGCGCUUCCAAGUCAGAUAGGUCGAAUGGUGCCAUGUGCAGGAAGGACUGGUCCAGGGAGAAGGCGCGCUCUUCCGAUGAGCCAAGGAGACUGGAGAAGUAGUUGAAGGCUGCUUCGGCCAUGGCGACGUGCUCGGUGACCAGAUGAUCGUCCAUGCGGAGGGAGGAGAUCAGGUUACGCUACUUUUGGCGCGAGGCAUGCACGCUGAAGUAGGAUAGCGGGGAGUCCUGGAGCCAAGAUAGGCGCGAUCGUUGGUGCUUAAUGGAGCGCUCGAGGCAAGCCAGCCCCAGGUAUGCGCCCUUGAGCUUGCGCCUGAGCCACACCUCAGGCUGAGAGAGCGGCCGAAAGUCCUGCGUGGCAUCGAGGCGGACAAUCAGUUCCUGCGCGACCUGCAGCUACAGCGAGACACCGCCGAUGGUGUGCGCGCUCCAGCGCUGGAGGUGUCGUGCGGUGGCCUUAAGGCGAGCCACAAUACGCCGGAAGGGAUCCGUCUUCGGGGUAGUCGAGUUCCAGGCCUCCGAGACCGUGUCGUGAAAUCCUUCGAGCUUCGGCCAGAAACACUCGAAGUGGAAACCACAUGCCCCUAUGGGACGGGCAGUGCAGUCAACAACCAACGGGAAGUGGUCGGACGCCGCGGAGGAGAGUCAAUGUAGAAGGCAAUGCGGGUGAGCAAUCUCCCAUCCGGACGUGCAAAGGAUCCGACCAUUCCACACGAGGGUAGGCGUGUCACUCUCACUAGACCAAGUGUAGCGGCGCCCGUGCAAGUACAUAUCUCGGAGCUCCUCAUCUGCAAUGAAGCGCCGGAAUCGGCUCAUGACGUGAUGGUUCAGGUUCGGGGUAUUUUUGUCGGCAGCCGAGGUGAUCAUGUUGAAGUCACCACCAAGGAGCCAAGGCCCAAUGCGUGACUCGCGCACGUCGUGGAGGUCGGCAAGGAAGUCGAGCUUGGCCUCAUCAUCUUGGGGGCCGUAAACACCUGUGAGCCACCAAUGGCCGGCGCCGCCAACGGGGGAGACCAGAGCAGUGAUAUGGUGCUCGCCUAUGUAGGGGUUGGAGAGGGAGACAUGGGAUCUGAGCCAUGCAAGAAGCACGCCACCACGUGUGCCGGUGGCGGGGAGGAAGAAGAAGUCCUCAAAUAAGGUGCCGAGGGUAUUAAGGACGAUCGAGUCCGUGACAUGAGCAGGUUUUGUCUCCUGCAAGCACACGAUGGUGGGGGCGGCAGCGGAGAUCACGCUGCGGACGGCCGUACGUUUGGCACCGGAAUUGAGGCCGUGAACAUUCCAAAAGAUGAUCUUAGGGUUGCAAUCCAUUAACAAAGUUAAGGGGGGUGUCGGAAGACAGAGAGCAAGCUAGCUAAGCCUCAAUGUGGUGAGGCGUUGCACGGGAGCUCGAGGCCUCGGCCGGUGCACGUCCAGGAAGGUGGCAUCCAAAGAAAUCUAGAAACGCCUCGACCACGUCCUCCGCCAAAGGCUUCUCGAACAGGAGAGCGUAUUUGUCUAGCAUCUCACGCGGGAUGGGCACGUUGUCAUCCUUGAUCAACCCAAGGCGACGUAGAAGGACCCGCUUCGCUUUCAUCUCGGAGUCAAGGCCCUGGUCAGUCUUGGCAAUUCUAAAACUCCGGCGAGGUGUGAAGUCGGCGGGUAGCUCACGGCGACGGCGACGCGGUGGUGCAGCGAGGAUAGGCUGGGAACGGACGGAGAGCACGUCCACGAACGCGGCCAAGGAGUGGGUGUUGCUAUCUGCAUCUGCAAGCGCGGCGGAGGAGGGAGCAUCACUAGGCGGAGGUGAGCAGGCCGACGCGCAGACGAAAUCAUCCGCGGCAGGCGAACGGUCAUGCAUGGGCAUGUCACCUGAUGGUGGGCCACCACCAGCCAAUGGGGCGACUAGCACGCGCGGGCGGCUAGCGGGGCCCGGCGAGGCAGCAUCGUCGGUUUGUGCGGGGCCAGGAGUAUUUGCAGGGGGCGGGGGUCGUGUCGGGCUCGGUCACCGUGAUUGGCGCGGUCGCUGGUUGGUCAAGCAUCGGAUCCGAGGCCGUGACCGAAUCGCGGGUGGGCCCGGAGGAAGAUACGUCCCCAGGAUGGUUGUCGGCAGCCACCCGUUGGGCAGGAAGCUCGAGCAGCGGGAUUGGCUCAUCAGGCACGGUAGGAGCGACAUGCAUGGGUGAGGCCGUGGGAUCAGUGCAUGCGGUUGGAGCGACGUGCAUGGGCGGGGCCACGGGAUCAGCGCAUGCGCUGGAAGGCUGGCAGCAAUCUCGGGGCGAGGGGGUGGCCACAGUCUUCGCGUCGUUCAAAUCCGUGGCAGGCCCAGGCACAAGGGCGGCCGACCCAAGCUCGACAGCUGGCGACAGGACAUGCGCAGCGGGCGACUCAUGGUGGGCUAGGGCCAGCACCAAUUCGGUGGGUGCGGCCAAUCAUAGGCGAGCGGAGACCCGCGUGACAUCAGCCAUGGUGCCGGGGUGGGCCCCAAGGAUGCCAGCCCAGAACCGGCACGAUGGGGGCGCAUGAGCCCGCCGGUGGCGUCGCCGGCGGCCACGCCCAUCGCCCGGCAGUCGAGCCGCGCUGCUGCAAGCCGGGGGGAACACGUGGUGAUGCGGCCAGCGAGGGGGGAGUGGCGGGGAGUCAGGCGCGCAGCCAGGAUCGUCAGACUCCGACGACGGGGGUGGCAGCGGCGGCGGUCGGCGGAAGUCGACGCACUUCGCGAGCUUAAAAAAUCUUGGAGUUUCUUUGCAUCCAAUUUCGCCAAGAUCCCAUGGUUGCAAUCACCAUGGCAAUUGGGCCCGACAGAGCUUGAAGUAAGGAGUUGAUCUCAUCAACAACAGAAAUACCUCUGUUUUUGUGGGGGAUGAUAGAGUCCCAACAACACAUAGCAAAAGGGCAGUCCCAGAAUAAGUGGAGUGAUGUUUCCUCAGCCCCGUCAUUACAGAGUUCAAAAUUAUAUGAUUGAAUGAGUGAGCCUAGCUCAACUAGUUGGGGAGUGGAUGUACAAACCCAACACCUGGGUUCAAAUCCUCACGGAGGCGACUUUAGGUUCCUAUUUAUUCUUGAGGACCAGGCUUUCCUGGUACUCACGCAUUUAUUGAGGACUAGGCUUGGUGCGUAAUCGAGAUUAAAAAUCCUAGUACUCAUACUUAAAAGGUCGUAUGCAUCCCUAGUUGGUGCAAAGGCCGGGGAAGUGAAAUUCUCCCCCAAUUUUAAAAAAGGAGGUCCCUAAUAAGCUAUCCAUGUCGCGGCCGCCCGACGACGAGGUCGGCACCGAUGCGGCCGGCGGCUCAUCGCGGAAGCCCAACGUGGCUGAUCUCCUUUCACGGGCGGUGAUCUUUCUCUUGCCGUCGACGGCGCUUUCUCCCCCAAAUACUCGUGCGGCAGCGCCGCUGGGUGGAAAGGCAGAACGAGCGAUAGCGGAUCUCAGCGUAAGUAUAUUAGGCAUAACAAGCAUUUCAUUCUUGUAGAGUAAAUAAUUGGAUUUUUCUUGAGUUAUUUUGUAUCUCUCCACGUUCCAAAGCGAAAGGUUUCCGUGAUAUGAUAUAGGAAAGAAAUAAGAAAUAACGGUUGCAAAAAAACCCCUUUUUUCUUUCAAAAGUCUAUAAAAUUAAUAUUGCCAAUUCCAUUUUAAUUAUAUUCUUUUUUCUUAAUGUUAAUAAAAAAAGAAGCUUGCUUCACAUUUGGAAUUACACAAAAAAGAUUUUUCAUCGGAAAGAGGUCUACGAAGACUUUUGGGAAAACGUCGACGUUUGCUGGCUUAUUUGGCAAAGAAAAAUAGAGUACGUUAUAAGAAAUUAAUCGGUCAGUUGAAUAUUCGGGAGCAGUAAUUUAAUCGUUCAAUUUUUUUUGGCUUUUACUGUCUACUUUUCUCAGGGAGAUGGUUAAGGACCUCAGAAGAUAGAGGAGAGCGCCAGGCCCAGAUUUCCGGAAUACUUCUACAGGGAAUGCUCAUUGAAUGAGCAUUCUCCAUAUUAUGCCUUGAAGAGGACUCGAACCUCCACGCUCUUCAGCACGAGAUUUUGAGUCUCUAAAUCUCGUCGUUAACUGAAUUCUGAAUAGAAAGAUUAAGAAGAAAAAAAGAUUCAAAAUAAAGACAGAAAUACCCAAUAUCUUGUUCUAGCAAGAUCUUGGGUAUUUCUGUCUUUUCUUUCUUCAAAAAUUCUUAUAUGUUAGAUGGUGAGAUCAAGGGGGAGAAGCCGAGAUUGCGGCAGUGGCAGGUCCAAUACUCCGACGAGACAGAUCCCGACACUUGGAUCGUGGGGCGUCUUCAUUUUACUCCAUCGUUGUGAUGGAUGGCUCUGUUGGAUAUGGAGAACGAUGUGUUAGCCGACGACUAUCUCCCGGACGACGACCGGAUUGCGGUAGGAUUUUGGUUUUUGAUUGAUAACUAUGAUGUAGUUGUUGGUCGUUGUGUGCAGGUUGAUCAGAUCCCGGCAGCGGAUCUCGUUGAUUUGAUGGACACAACAAGAAUGGACAAACCGGGAGGACGUUUCCGAGUUCUAAUCGAGAGGGAUGAAGAAGAAGAGGUUGAGAUCGAGCAUGCCCCGACGGAUUCUCUCAUGGUUUCGAAUACGACACCAGAGAGUCCGCCGGAGUUUAAACAUGCAAUUGACCGUCGUCGGUCCAAAGCUCAGAGCUCGAAGAAGAUCGUCAAACCAUGGAUCAGACUGAUCCCUAAGGUAUCUCGCGCACCCGUUACAUUGCCAGAUUUUAUUCUGGAGACAUGGACUUUAGUAACUAGAAAGAAGAAAGGAAAGAAAGGGCAGUCAUCGAGGCCCGCGCUGCAGCGAUCGCCGGUGGCGACGGCGGCUAGCACGAUUCGAGCGGACAGAAGGGCAUGCUUGAAUUCGUUGCUGGGCCUCAAUACUGGAUCAGAAAGCGUUGGUCGUGGGCCCUCUAGAUUCGGGGCAUGAGGCCCAGUCGGAAUCCCAAGUCACGUCUAUUGUUUCUACAUGCUUGCAUGAGCCGGAGCAGCCCUAGUCGUCUAUCAUCGUUACGGCUAGGGUUUCUCGCUCGCCUGGGUUCCCAUCGCUCGGUACGGGGAGAGCUGCCUGGAUCUCCGGCGCCGGUGCGAUGGUUGGGCGCGGAGGACCGCCGCCCGUUGCUGGGGCCGGCCGCGAUGCUCCACCUCUUGCGAGGCAACCGCCGCCAGCCGCCUAAGGGCAAGGGCCGCCGCCCGUCGCUGGGGCCGGUCGGGGUGCUCCACCUCCUGCGGGGCAACCGGCGGCGGCCGCUGCAGGGCCACAAGCCUCAGGACUGCCACGUGUUGCUAGCCGGCCGAACGCGCGGCAGCCGGAAGAGCUGACACAGCCACCGGCGACCAAAGCGCAGGCGCUGGGGCAUGGUCGCGGUGCAAAUCAAGGUUGGGAUGGCCAUGGCUACGGCGGCUACGGCAGAGAUGGUCAUCGUUUCAAUCGGUACAGGCAGUGGGGCGACGAUGGCUACGAUGUUUAUGGUGAGGGUCAGCACCGUGGGUCAUCCUCGGGUGGUGGUCGAGGAUAUAACUGGCACAAUGGCGGCAGGCAAGGACAUGGCUUUCAGGGUCAGCCCGGGAAUUUUAUUGAAGGAGUUGCCGGCCCCAAUGACCGUUACCGGGGGGAUAUCGUCGCGGCGGGAGAGGGUGUGGGAAGCGCCCACCUCCACCACCACCUCCGCCGGCUGACACGGCACACACGCCCCCGGGGGCGGUGAUGGAUAUCGCAGCAACUACGGCGGCGGCUAUACCUACUUUGCCCGCGGUGGGUGUAGACACAGCAGGGCCCUGGCAGUGGUCUCUGUUCCGGCAGCCACUAGAGCUGCUAAGAUAAGUGAUGGUGGGACGGACAAAGGCUCGGACAAACCGGAAGGAGAAAAACUUUCAAAGUGGGCAAUUAAGAAGAAGAAACUUCCUUGCUAUAGAUGUGGUGAACCUGGGCACUUUGUCGCAGAGUGUACUAAUGAACUUUGUGACUACCGCCAUAGAUCGCAGCAUGUGACCAGUGAUUGCCCACUCAUGUCCGGCCCCAAGCCAGGGGUUAACAUUUUUGGGGUGUGCUGCAAAGAGUUGAUGUUUUUUGAGUCUCCUGAGGUGUCACCUUUGACACAGGUGGUGGAGAGUUCUUUCCCAGCAGUGGUUAAGGUUACCAAUGGGAACACGACAGAGGCUCAGAUUCUGAGGCAGCUGCGAGAGUUGGUACCAGGUAAUUAUCAGUGGAAUCUUGACAAGUUGGAGAACCAGACUUACAAGGUGGAUUUUCCCACUAAAGAGGAUCAAUUGCAUAUUCUUAAGUGGGGUUUGUGUAGAGUUCCGAUCACCAACAUUAUCAUGGCUUUCGAUGAGUGGAAGCAGCCGCAACCAGAGGGUACACCUUUGGAGAAGGUUUGGGUACAGUUCUAUGGUGCGCCACCCAAAACGAUUAAUCACUUUCUGGUAGCCUGGAGCUUGGGAUCUUUGAUUGGCAAACGGAGCAGGUGGACAUGCCUUUCACUCGUGCACAGGGUGCCGCGAGGUUACUUGUUAGUGUAGUCAGCGUUGAGUUUGUGUCGGAUGUAGUCAGGUGGACACAUGCCGGAGUCACAUACGUCCUAGAGAUCGAGAUUGAGGACACACCGAUUCCUCGGGAGGGGGAUGAGUAUCAGGAUAUGGAGCCCCCGGGAAUCAGGAUAAGGGGCCCGAGAGUGCGCCACGAGACUCGGCUACGGGGCCGAAUUCACAGUCGGAUAAGACGGACGUGCCUGCUAAGGAGGCGCCACCAUCCACAACUCCGAUGAACACACUUUGGUUUGGUUCUUUUGGAGUGAGGUAUGUGCCUAGUCGGUUAUGGAGCAACAGAGUAGAGGCGGAUGAUCCGGUGGAACGUGAGUUACCACCGGUGAUGCUCCCUUGUGAGUUGUCGAUGGGUCUAUCUUCUCACCGGGCGGACGGGCACACCGAGAGAGGCGAUGACUACCCCAGAGCCAGCCACCCAGGAGGCACGGCACACGCGUGCUGAUGGUGGUCUGGUCAUGGCAGAUAUCAUGACUGCGAGUGGGGGGUGUCGUGUGCAGGAGGCCCGUAGCACCCACCCUCACGCGGCGGCCUCGAGCUUCUCUGGGGAGGGGGGCGGACAGGAGGUCCGCGGAGCCCUCUCUCAUCCGGCGACCCCGACUGAGCUGGGAGAGGGACGCGAGUAGGAGGCCCGUGGCUUCUCCUCUUCGCGGGACCCAGCCGAGCAGCACGGACAGGGGACAUGCCACCCUGAUGCUGAGGGGAGGAGUGGGACCAUAGAGCAGGUGGCUCCACGGUGUCCUUCCCCCAUUACUACCGUUGGUGACACCCGCUCGACCGCACCUUACCCUUCUUCACCAGCGCUAAGGGAAGGGUGUGGGAGUCAGGUGCAUACGCCUUGGGAGAGGACGGCGGAGGAGCUUAUCGCUUUCGGUUGGAUCACGGAUCCGGUGACGGCUGGCAGGCGUGUCAGCAGCCGGAUCCAGGGACAACCGGAUGCUGACGACCUGCACAUAGCGCACGCCAAGAGGGCCGCCAUGCUUCGAGAUGUCGAGGCAAAUACAGGUAUGUCUUUCGAUAAGAGUUGUCCAAUUCUGCAUUUCACCGAGCAUGAAAUAGUAGAUAAGGCAAACGACAUAGGUAUUUCUUUGGGUUCAAAUGAGAAGGAGGUUCCGAAAUCCGUGAAUGAUCUUUUAGACUUAGAAGCAGAGCGUGCCUUAGAAAUAAUUCAGAAUCUUGCAUCUGUCAAACCUAUGAAUGACGAUGACAUGAAAAAUUUAGGAAUGGAUGAUCUUGCAAACAUUUGCAAUAAUCUCUUGCCUAGUGCGGAGGCCGAAGAUGAGGAGGAGUCGGAAACUACAGACACUGUAGAGCCUCUAAUGAUGGAGGGCACUGUCUCAUGUAUUGCCGAUCCAACGUUUUCGAAGGGUGAUGGGGAGAAGCCCAAGCGACCCUGGAAACGGAAAUUUUAUCCUACUUUGGUGGUUCGUAGAAGUGCUAGGGUCUAGCUGACUUGGCUAAACGAAGGUUCUUGGUUGAGACAACGAUAGAGCACAUUUAGAUUUUAUUGCGCUAAUGGAAAAACGGCGAGAUAACUUUACCUCACAGUUCCUUGCAACUCUUUCCAGAGGAAUUGACUUUGAUUGGCACGUCUUACCUCCUAGAGGAAGAUCUAGUGGGAUUUUACUAGGGGUUCGGUGUGAAACACUUGAGGUGCUUAACGUGGUUCGGGGAGACUUUGCGGUCAAGUUUCGGGUGAGAUCAAAAUUGGAUGGUUUCUGAUGGUCUCUCGUGGUUGUGUAUGGUGCAGCACAACCGGAACUCAAACCUGAUUUUUUAGCCGACUUGGUGAGAAUCUGUGGAGAUGAAACUUUGCUGAUCCUAGUUGGUGUGGAUUUUAAUAUCAUUCUGAGGAGAGGUGAAAAGAACAAUGAUAAUUUGAUGGACGUUGGUCUAUGAUGUUUAACAUGAUUAUCGAGAGUCUUAAUUUGAGAGAAAUUGAGCUCACCGGUAGGCAAUUUACAUGGGCCAAUUCGUUGCCCACUCCUACUUAUGAGAAGUUGGAUAGGGUUCUUGCUAGUGUGGAAUGGGAACAAAAGUACCCAUUGGUGUCGGUUCAUGCGAUGCAGAGAGCGAUCUCAGAUCACACAACACUUCUUGUAGACUCGGGAGAGGCUACUCACGUUGCGGACAAGAAUGCUUUCUCCUUCGAACUAGGUUGGUUCGAGAAAGACAACUUCUUGGAGAUCAUUGCACGCGAAUGGGCAAAACCUGUUAGUGGAAGAACUAGUAUUGAGAAAUGGCAAAAUAAAAUCAGACACCUGAGACAGCUUUUGCGAGGUUGGGCCAGAAACGGGAGUGGGAUUUACAAACAAGAAAAAGAGCGACUCACUCAACUGAUUCAAACCCUAGAUUUAAAAGCUAAAAGUAACCUUCUUACGGUUAAUGAGCAAAGCUCCAAGUCUGAAGCUGAGCAAGGCUUACAAGCUCUUCUUAGAGAAGAGGAGCUCAAGUGGGCAUUGCGUGCUAAAGUGCUUAAGGUUGUCCAAGGGGAUGACAACACACAAUUUUUCCAUAUGAUUGCGAAUGGCAAACAUAGGAAGAAGAAAAUCAUUCAGCUUGAACAGGACGAGGGGACAAUUAAGGGCAUGAGAAUCUGAAAGCUUAUAUCUCUAAUUACUAUAAACAACUUUUUGGGCAUCUGGAAGCAAGCACGUUGGCCCUAGAUGAAUCUGUUAUUGGAGAUAUACCUCAGCUCCAGGCAGUGGAGAAUGAUAUUCUAUCUGCACCGUUUACUGAGAAGGAGGUUCUCAAUGCAAUCUCACAAGUGAAACCGAAUAAAGCACCGGGACCAUAUGGGUUUCCAGCUGAAUUCUAUAAGAAAUGUUGGCAUAUUAUUAAGAAUGAUCUUAUGCCUAUGUUUCAUGAUUUCUUUAAUGGUCAUUUGGAGCUGUUUCAUCUUAACUUUGGCAUGAUUACGCUGUUGCCAAAGAAAGAAGAGGCAGACCGAAUCGAACAAUUCAGGCCCAUAUGCCUUCUUAACGUGAGUUUCAAAAUUUUCACAAAGGUGGGUACCAAUAGAUUGACAUAGAUUGCUCAUUCAGUGGUACAACCGAGCCAGACAGCGUUCAUGCCAGGGCAACACAUACUGGAAGGGGUGGUCGUUCUGCAUGAAACGUUACAUGAAAUUCAUUCGAAGAAGCUAGAUGGGGUUAUCUUCAAAGUGGAUUUUGAGAAGGCAUAUGAUAAAGUUAAGUGGCCUUUCCUUCAGCAGGCAAUGCGUAUGAAAGGAUUUAGUGAGGCUUGGCGGAACCAAGUGGGUUCUCAAGUCCACAAGGGUAGUGUCGAAAUCAAGGUUAAUGAUGAUAUCUUCCAUUACUUUCAGACACACAAGGGUUUGAGACAAGGGAAUUCCAUGUCUCCUCUCUUGUUUAAUAUAGUGGCCGAUAUGUUGGCCAUCCUUAUUGGCAGGGCCAAGCAGCAUGGUCAAGUGGAGGGGUUAGUUCCUCAUCUGGUUGAUGGAGGAGUAUCCAUCCUACAGUACGUUGACGACACUAUCCUAUUCAUGGAUCAUGACAUUGCUAAGGCGCGUAAUAUGAAACUUAUAUUAUGUAUCUUUGAACAAUUGUCUGGUUUAAAGAUAAACUUUCAUAAGAGUGAGUUGUUCUGCUUUGGGAAGGCCAAAGACGAGCAAGACACUUAUAGAGAAUUGUUCGGGUGUGAAUUAGGUUCUUUACCAUUUAGUUAUUUGGGUAUACCGAUUCACCACCGUAUGUUAUCCAAUAAAGAAUGGAAGUGUAUCGAAGAUCGAAUUGAAAAAAGCUUAGCUGCUGGAAGGGCAAGCUUAUGUCUUAUGGAGGUCAGCUAGUGCGGAUUAACUCGGUACUGACUAGUAUGCCAAUGUUCCUAUUAUCGUUCUUCGAAAUUCCAAAAGGGGUACGAAAGCGACUUGAUUUCUUCAGAUCUCGGUUCUUCUGGCAGUCAGAUGAGGCCAAGAGGAAAUAUCGUCUCGCGCGAUGGGAUAUCCUUUACCGACGAAAAGACCAGGGGGUCUCGGUAUUGAGAAUCUAGAAAUCAAGAAUAAAUGCCUUAUGAGCAAAUGGCUUUACAGGUUAGAGACGGAGCCAGAGGGCAUGUAGGCACAGAUUUUGCGUAAUAAGUAUUUACAGACGAAAACGCUUGCCCAGGUUACUAUGAGACCAACUGACUCGCCAUUCUGGAAAGGGCUUAUGAGAACGAAAGACAUGUUCUUUCGUAGGGUCAAAUUCUUGGUUGGCAAUGGGAUGUCAACAAGAUUUUGGGAGGAUACGUGGUUAGGAGAGACACCAAUGCCGUACAAUAUCCCACCCUUUAUAACAUUGUGCAACGUAAGGAGGAUUACGUAGGCACAGUUUUCCAAACGAUUCCCCUGAAUAUUCAGUUCAGACGCACGUUAGUUGGUGAGUGAUGGACUGCAUGGAUGCACUUGGUUCGGAGAUUGAUAGAUGUUCAACUCUCUGACCAGCCGGAUUCGACGCAAUGGAAAUUAGCUAAAAAGGGGUAUUUACGGUGAAAUCUUUCUAUGUAGAUUUGAUUAAUUCUGGCCCAAUCUCGAGAUCGUUACAUAUUUGGAAGAUUAAGGUUCCCUUGCGUAUUAAAAUUUUCAUGUGGUUUGUCCACAAGCAAGUAAUACUCACCAAGGACAACUUAAUCAAGAGGCGAUGGGUAGGUAGUUCACGUUGUUGUUUUUGUGAUCAUGAUGAAACAAUACAACAUUUAUUCCUUGAAUGCCCACUCGCCAAAUUGCUUUGGAGAACGAUUCAUAUAGCCUUCAACAUUAAUCCUCCAGUUGACAUUGAGUCGUUGUUUGGAACGUGGUUAACUGGGGUUGAACAUACUACUACGGCUCGUAUUCGGAUUGGAAUAUGUGCGCUUCUGUCGGCUAUAUGGAACUGUAGGAAUGAUUUAAUUUUUAACAGACAACACACUUUAACUUUCUUGCACGUCAUCUUCAGAGCUACCGCAUGGAUCCGUACGUGGUCCUUACUCACUCAUUUGGAAUCCAGGGAGCCUUUGGUUAUUGGGUGCAACCGGUGGGAGAUGGUAGCACGGGGUAUAUUCAACCGGUUCGGAUGGCAGUCGCAUAACAGGAUAGGAGUUUAGGAAGCUUAUCCUUCAUUUUGCCGUUCCGGUUGUCAUUGCCAACAUGUAAUUUUCUUUUUCAUUUGCUUCGCUCCGCUUGCAAGCUGUAAUACUUUUAUGACUUUGUGCUACUUCGUGGAUUGUUUAAUAAGAUGGUUGCAUGCAUCGUUAUGAUGUAGAGGCUGGGGGCACACGUCCAGUUCCAAAAAAAUAUGAUUGAAGAAAGAAAUACUUUCUGUGCAAGAGGUUCCAAGUGUUACUUCUGCCAUGCAGGAGUAGCUAGAAGAAGAUUUUGUAUCUGAGCAUUGUUGAGUUCUUCCAAAGCUUUUCUGGAAACAGGCUUUCACCCUGCUUUAUAUAUAAAGCAACACAACAAAGUACAUGACCGAACGAUACAAUAUGGUGGGGAGGCCCCCUUGCAAAGCAGAACACAAGAUACACCAUCAACCUAGAAUGAGCCUAACAGCUCGCCACGGCCCGACCAAAGAAUCCUGAGCUCCACAACAACACCCCAAGAGGGUGACGGCAAAGCGUUGUCGUUGCCGAGGCCGAUCAGACAGAGGUUUUCACCCGGAACCCUGGAACAAGGGUGAGCUCCAUGACCCCGUCUUCAGGAAGCAAGCGACACCCAUGGGCGACCGUCACCAGUGCCAAAAACACGAGCUUUUGCUCGAACACUCGUCACCACCAUCGAUAGAAGUCCCAGUCACCACUGCAACGAGGGCCGACCCAUCCCCACCGGAUCUGGGCAAAGCCAGCGCCUCCAGCCACUACACCCCUUGCGGCCUACAUGGCCAAGAAGUGGAGUCACCAUCGCUGCCACGAAGCCUGCUGGAAAGCCCACAUUGAAGCCCACCAUCCAAGGCCACCGCCCAGCGCCCCUGUCGCGAAACACCGUACAUGACCCACUUCUCAGCGCACCCAACCGCGGUAGGAUGAGCAGAGACACCCUUCUACUCCUAGCCUGGCAUCAGCCACUGAGUGUGGGUGAGCGCCUCCACCGUAAGAGGUACCCACGCUUGAGUCCCUAGCCAAUCCCGGUGUACUGGGGGGGAACCGACUGUUGGAAAUAUGCCCUAGAGGCAAUAAUAUUGUAUUAUUAUAUGUCCGUGUUCACAAUUAAGAGUUUAUAUUCUAUGUUAUAACUAUCGGAUUUCGGGUUCCGGCAAAACCCUUGAGGUUCGAACACUGGGGUGCACACGAAGAUCUCUCCUUCCUCUAGCUCACGCCCUCACCGCGAUCUCAAAGCUUAGCGCGUUGAACCCACAGAACAAGAGACACAAGGUUUAUACUGGUUCGGGCCACCGUUGUGGUGUAAUACCCUACUCCAGUGUGGUAUGGUGGAUUGCCUCUUGGGCUGAGGAUGAACAGUACAAAGGAAGAACAGCCUCUUGAGGAGAGGUGCUCUUGUGCUUGGUGAGUUCGGGUGGUCAAGGGUGAUCUGAAUGAUCCUCCCCUUUCUAAGGUGGUGGCUAGUCCUAUUUAUAGAGGCCUUGGUCCUCUUCCCAAAUAUUGAGCGGGAAGGGAUGCCACAACGGCCAAUUUCGAAGGGAGACAACUAGUACAAGCUAUCCUGACUAAAGGUGGUCUUCGCCUGCCAAAGGCUCUGGCGGUGACGCCGUCUUGGGCUCCACGGUAACCUCCGUCCUGCCGUCCUGCUGGUCUUGGUCUCGUUGCACCGAUAUGGAAACCUUUGCCUGAUGCCUCGGGACUCCUUGCCUGCGCUUGCCUCUUUAGCACCAAAGAGGAAACGAGGACACUGCGCGCGCUAGCGCCCGCCUGGCCCUGGUCGUCAUGGCUUACGUCACAGGAACCUCGUGAGGUGCCCCUCGCCUUGAUCUCUCCGCCCCUCGCGAGCUAGCCUGGUGAGGCCGCCCCCGAGGAGGUCUUGCGUCGUCCGCUCACGAGACUUGGCCCCUCGCGAGGGUCUUGAGUGUUUGCUGGUGAAGAUGGGCCAUACAGGGCCGCUGGUGGAGCCACGCCGCAGGCCGUAGGUAGGCAAGUCUGGGGACCCCCGUUCCCAGGACACCGACAGUAGCCCCCGGGCCCAAGGCACGCUCGGACUUGGCUUCGAGGCGAAGCCAAAGGGCAAGUGCGCAGCGCCGUGGGCCCCAACAGUCUGCGGCCUCGCUUGACGCGUGGCGAUUGAUUGGACGUGGGCGUCUCCGCUUCCUCACGCUGCCUCGAUAACUGCCCGACUUGACGGGUCUCGGUUGCAUGCAGAGAAAAAUCAUCAUUACCUGUGAUCGUGGGGUCGCCGGUUGGCCUUCUUCCGCUAUAAAUGAGGAGGGGGCGGAGCCCCCGUCGCUCAUCUCUUCCUGCUCCGCUCGUUUCUUCUCCCUUGGUUCACUGCCGGCAGCGACACCCAUGGCGCCUGCAAAGAGGUUCUCGGCCGCAGAGAAGGUGAAGGCCCGCCAGGAGGGGCCCGGCUCACCGCCGCCCAAGAGGGGGCGCGGCCAUGCCCGCAAGCACACCGCGACCCCCACCAUGGCCCCUCGCGGCCGCGGCGACGCCUCUUCGCGUGGUGGGAGUCGCCCAGGUCGUCGUAGCCCCAUCGAUGAAGGGAGGCGCGCCAUGGUCGCGCGGCCUCCCAGGCCGCGCUUCCACUUGGCGGAGGUGUUGCCGGAGUUUGUCGUGUGGUCAGAGAACCCGACCGGUACCUGGCUUCAGCUCCCGCGCUUCUUUGCCGGUGAGCUGCCAGCCACGGGUCCAGGCGAUCUCUGGCCGCAGGCAGACGGCUGCUGCAGCAAGGAUUCGUGGGUCGCGGUCAAGGUCUCCAUCACAGGCAACGCAACCCUGGCCCCCGGCUGGCAGACGUUUGCCCGCGCGCGCGGCCUGGGCCGGCGGUGCUCCCUCUACUUCAAGUACGAUGGCGACUCGACCCUCUAUGUGAGGGUAUUCGGGGAAGAUGGCCGCCACGUCGGGUGCUGCCCUGAGGACAAUGACGGCGGUGAGGUGCUCAGUCUCGGCGAUGGCCGCGUCGAGGGUGAAGGCGGGCUUCUCCUCGGCGCCGGCCAUGGCUCGUCCAGCUACGGCGACUCUUCUUCCGGCGAUAGCUCCAGCAGCGGCGGCUACGACCAGGCGCCGCGCCCGCUUCGAGGGUGGCAGCGGGUCGUCUCGUCGCCGUGCUCCGGUGAAGUGCGAGGAGGGGUCUGCCUGAGCUCAGGAGAGCGCCAUGGGCCCAUCCUCACGAACUGCCGCGGGAGCACGUGCCACUUUUGUUUCGCUCUUCCUUUCCUUCCUGCAUUAAGAGAGAGACAAGUAUGGGGCCCCGCUGGGGCGUGCAACUACUAUGAUUUCCAAGUUGCUAUGCUAUGUUUAUCGUUCCUGUGUCGUGUUGCAGCAUCAGCGUUUUAUGUAGGCGCGUAGGAAUAACUUAGCUUACUCGUUCGAAAUAGUCUCCGCCUCGUGAGGCGCGCAUGUCCCAGUAUCUGGCGAGGCCUCCUUGGCUUGGGAGGCGUCUAGGAACUGCAAAAAUUCGUUACGAAACUCUUAUUCUUCCGAGCCUUGGUCGUAGGCGCAGCCGGCCACGACCCAGCGCUUCGCAUCGCGGUACCCGAGGGGCACGGAUUGAGAGAGGUGCGCCAGCUUGCGAGCUCGAGCGAGGGUGCCUUGCGAAAAACAGGAAAAACGCUCACGAGGGCAACAAGAAAAAUGCUCACGAGGGCACCUGUCCAGCCCCCUCGCGAGGCAUGCGAGGGAGAGUACAUGUGUCGGGGGAAAUCGGCACCUAUGGAAUCACUGGGAUCCCUUCUACGGUUGGCGGGCACGGGGUUGUGCAAAGAGCGGGUCUGACAGGAGGCACACAGAUCGUUUACCCAGGUUCGGGCCGCGAAGAUGCGUAAUACCCUAGUCCUGCUUUGAUGGAUGUAUUUCAGUGUUCUUGUGUUCUUGAGCUAGCUACAGGGUGCAACUUGCCCAAAAGAUCUGAAUCCUUCUCCUGGUCACCUCGGGCCUCCUUUUAUAGGCAAAAGGGGUUGCCACAGUGGCACACAGGAGGUGGAAAGGUGUACAGUGGAUGAGUCUAUCCUCUCUCACCGUCGGACAAACGCAUUUAAUGCGCUGCCGACGUGCCCCUCUUGCUUUAUUGGGGACGGCGAGGAAGCACGUCCCAGCUGUCGCCGCCUCGCCGGGUUCCGACGCACAUCCGAGCUGACGAGGCGUUGCUGCGCCACGUUGGCUGGCUACUGGGCUGGCGCGGUGGUGGAGCCUUCACGAAGUUUUGCAUGCCACCACGCAGGUGCUUGCUAGGUCGGUGUAGAGGUCGCUCGUUGCCACGCAGGUGCCUGCCCAGCUGGUUGAGCUAGCAGCUACAUGGGGACGGCGGUGGCGUCUUGGCAGACGUGGGCCUGGCUGCGGCCCUGCUGGUGUCCUCGGCAAGGGUCUUGCCGAGGCCCUGGCAAGGGUCUUGCCGUGGCAUCGUGGUCGUCCCCGGCAAGGAUCUUGCCGGGGGUCUUGUGGAUUUCCUCGGCUAGGAUCCCGCUGAGGGUCGUCGUCUUAUGGUCCUCAUCUGAUCUCAUGAAUUUAUGAUCUUGACAAAGAUCUGCAUGCCACCACGGAGGUGCCUCCCGAGCCUUGGUUCCAAAGUAGUCGUUGGCAACGUUUGGAACCCUUGGGCUCAAGGGUGGCUCGCUCUGCUGGUGUUGGGCAAUCUGCCCCGGCAAGGCUCUUGUCGGGGCCGCGGAGGCCGCCCCGGCAAGGGUCUUGCCGGGGGAGUCUACCUCGCUCCUGUGCUCUUUGUGUCUCUGGUCUUAGCGUUGCCUUGGUUUGGCUUGUGCUCCGGCUUCCCUCCUCUGCCCUGCUAAGUGUGGCCACGGGCGUGGCUCUAACUGCCCGUGCACAAGUAAAGGGGUCAAAAGGAGAGCCCCUACUUUUGUGCACCGACAGGAGCCCCCGGGCCUGGGCCACACAUAAGCACGACGCGUUGUUGGGCUAGGCCCAGAACGGUGCGCGGGCAGGUGGGGCGGAUUUUACCGCAGUAACUUUUCGUCCGUUGCGCUUCCCCACGACCCGCGUUGAACGUGCGACAUGGAGGGUCGUGCGUGACGUGGGGGUCAUGCGUGGGGCGGUCUCCGCACGCAUGCGUCACAUCGCAGUUAAUGGGAAAAGAGACGGCCCGCGCCUUCCCCGUAAAAAGGAAUAACCACGGGCGCGCUGCUCAUUUACCCCUUGCGCCUUCUCAGAACCGCCGUCCCCUUAUUCCUCCCUCUCAAGCUCUUGCUCCCGCUCGCCGCCGCUGUGCCUUUGUACUCUUCAACCACCAUGGCGCCCAAAACCAGCAGAGGCAAGGGGGCGGCCAAGGACGCCGGGGAGAAGGAGCCGCCGGAGAGCGAGUUGGUGGUGCCGCGGACACAGCACGCGUCGACGGUCGAUGCGGUCGAACUCCGGGACUACUUUAAACACCUGUGGGGGUGCAAGACGGGGGGCGAGACGACGAGGCAUCCGGCCACGCACGUCAUCCCCGCCGCUUUCGCCGAAGCCGGCCUGAAUCGGUACCCAUUUUUCGUUGAUUACUUCUCCUGCGGGCUCUGUCCCCCUUUCUCCGAUUUCUUCAAUGAUGUCAUGCACACCUAUGGCUUCCGCCUUCUGGAUUUUACUCCAAAUGUUGUGGCGUGCAUGGCCCUUUUUCCCCAUCUCUGUGAGGGCUUCGCCGGAGUGCAUCCCAACACGGCGCUCUUCUGCCACUACUUCUUCACUCGCAUCCAAAAGGGAGGCGCCAUUUCCGGCUGUGUCGCCUGGAUCCCAAGGACCCAGGAGAAAAAGACAUAUCCGGAAGGCGCCCAGAAGGAAAGUUGGGAGGAGUGGCGGGGCCGGUGGUGCCGGAUUGAAGAGAAGGACCCGCAGGAUUUUUGCCGGGUCCGCCACGCACCGCCGGUCCGCAGAAACGACUAGAGUGAUGUUGACGCAAAUGACAAGAAGCUCACGGUCGCCACCACCAGGAUUCUUCGUCUCACCGAGGCCGAGCUCACCCUUGAGAUGAACGGGGCGGAUUUCAUCCGCCGCCGAAUCGCUCUGCUGCACAACAAGGGAAGGCCGUCCUGGCUCUUCACGAAUGCGGCUGACAUCAUGAGGCUUCGCCCUGGCUUGGACCACAACGUCACGGUGAUGGGGCACGCCCACUUCUGCCAGCGGCUCUUCCAGCUCGACGUGAACCGCGAUGGCAAGGUCAAGCGGUCCGGCAAGGCCGCGAAGGCCGGCAAGGUCGCCAAGGUGCCCUUGUUUGGGUUGCCGGCGGGGGUGGUCCUACUGAGCAAUAACUUGCGCCGAAGUGACACCAUCGCCAUGAUGCCGGAGUUCAACGCGCACGGCCUUGUCCCAAAUUGGGCCGAGCCACCGGCGGAUCAGGUGCAGGAAUUCUUCGAUACCUUGGAGGAGAAGUACGUCCGCGCCGAGCCGCGGCUCGUCCAGGACACCACCCAGGCGGAGCUGGACUAUAUCGCCGCCAGGGCGGCGGAGGCGGAGCUUGCCAGGGAGGCCGGCGGCGUGGAGGACAAGGCCGCGGCAGCCGCGGAGGAGAAGGAGCUCAUCAAGUGGGUGGAGUCCGCUGGGGAGGCCAGCAGCACCGGCACCGGGGCCCCUCUCAUUGAGGAUGUGGUCGACGAGUCGCCGGAGGAGGAGGCCGAGACUGUCGAUCCCCCGGCUAUGGGGAGAGGGCGAGUCCUACGACGGGCCAGCUCCGGCGAGCCGGUCUAGCCCGGCAGGGCUGCGCCGCCGCAACAGACCUAGGAGGGGUCCGUGCGCCAGACAAGGGCCGUUGCGGCGAGGAAGUUGGUGAAGGCCGCGGUGGCGAAGAAGAAAGCAACUGCCUCUUCUUCGUCCAAACGUCCUCGGACUCCAUCUGCUUCCCCUCCUCCCGCAGGCGACGUCACGGAGGUUGUCUUCGAUUUUGGGUCCCUCAGCCCAAGGAGGAAGAGGAAGGCAACAGAAGAGGAGGUGGAGGAUGAGUAAGUAUCUUGUUUCUUUUUGUCAUCUCCAUCUCCUCAGACUGUGCCGCUUAUCUUGAUCUGUUUCCACCUUUGCAGGGAUGCGGAGAUGCUGGCUCAGAGGGUGAAGAGGGUCAGGGCUUCGGCGAGCGGCCAGCCCUCGGCAGGCACUUCCGGUACACCGCUGGUGGUGUUGAGCAGCCCGGACAGUAGCCCCCGACACAACCCCCAGCGUAAGCUCAUCACUUGCCUCUCCUCAACGUGUGUCGAGGCACGACCCUUCGGUGCUGACCUCGCCGGGGUUGCAGGAGGAGGACAGCGGCAGGAGGAGCCACUGAGGGCCGCCCCCAACACACCACCCCCGUCAACUACGGUGCCCCGAGGGGCGUCCCCGGCAAGGGCGCCGAGCGUCGAGCCGAUGCGCACGGAAGAGGAGGAGAACCGAGGCGGUGGUGGCUCCGUCCUGGCGCCAGGCGUUGGCGGCGAAGGGGCUACUUCAUCCCAUCCUGGCACGGGUAAGUUACUCGCCUUCCGUCCCUGUUCUUUUCUUUCUUUUUGAAUCUUGGUCUUGGCUUCGCCUCAUCCCCUUCUCGAUGUCCAGACCGUCCCUCGACGGAUCGGGAGGACAUAGACACCGUGAUCGAGGACGUUGCCAAGGACACCACAGCGGAGGCCGAGAAGAUCGCCGCCGAGGAGGCCGAGGAUGUUGCUGAGGGCGCCGCCAAGGAGUCUGCCGGGGGGCCCGACAAGGCUGCUGUCGAGUAGGCCGGCAAGGGGCCUGCCGGGGAGGCCGGCAAGGCUGCUACCGAGGAGGAGGUGGUUGACGACCAACCUUCCUCCUCCGCUGCAUCGGGCUCCGGCAGGUAUCUGAAGGUGACCGAUGACCUAUUCGUCCACCUCCCAAGGCCGGCGAGCACCAGGGCGCCCGUUGAGGGAGACGUGUUCGAUAAGGAGGUGCUUGCCGCCGCCAGGCUCAAAGUCGUUGACGAGCCAAGCGCCGACGGCGGCGGCUCCCAGGAAGAGCGGCUUCUCCAGGCCAUGGGUGCCAACUUUCGGAAGCUCCAGGCGCUCCAUCGCGCCCGCCUGGACAAGGCCAAGUCCAGGAUGGCAGCGGUAGACAAGGCGGAGGCGGAUCUUGAGGGGCGCAUCGCCGAGACGCAGACUUGGUUCCGCCAUGUCGGCGUUCUGGGAACGGGGGUCCCCAGACUUGCCUGCCUGUGGCCCACGGCGUGGCUCUGCGCGUGGGCCUGUAUGGCCCAUCUUCAUCAACAAGGCGUUCAAGACCCUCGUGAGGGGCCAAGCCUCGCGAGGCGGGCGACACAAGACCUCCUCAGGAGCGGCCUCACCAAGUUGGCUCGCGAGGAGCGGAGAGAUCAAGGCGAAGCAAACCUCACGAGGUUCUCGUGACGUGAGCCAUGACGAUCAAGAUCAGGCGGGCGCCAGCGCGCGUAGUGUCCUUAUUUCCCCUUUAGUGCUAAGGAAGCAAGCGCAUGCACGGAGUACCGAGGCGUCAAGAAAAGGUUUCCAUAUCAGUGGAACAAGACCAAGACCAGCAGGACGGCAAGACGGAGGUCACCAUGGAGCCCAAGGCGGCGUCACCACCAGAGCCUUUUGCAGGCGAAGACCGCUUUUGUCAGGAUAAGUUGUACUAGUUGUCCCCUUUCGAAUUGGCCAUUUUUGGAUCCCUUCCCGCUCAAUAUUUGGGGAGAGGACCAGGGCCUAUAUAAGUAGGACUAGCCACCACAGUAGGGGGCAACUAAGCCUGAGCUGAUCGAAUCCACACACACAAGUUCGCCAAGCACAAGAACACCUCAACCUCAGGAGGCUAUUCUUCCCCUUGUACUGUUCAUCAUCAGCCCAAGAGGCAAUCCACCACCACCACACUGGAGUAGGGUAUUACACCACAACGGUGGCCCGAACCAGUAUAAAUCUUGUGUCUUUUGUGUUGUGAGUUCAUUGAGUUCGUCCGCGAGAUCUUAGCAAGCUAGGGCGUGGAUUGGUAGGGGGGAAAGAACUUUGCGCGCACCCCAGAGUUCGAACCUUAAGGGUUUUGCCGGAACCUGUGAUCCGACAUUUGGCGCGCCAGGUAGGGGUGCGCCGGAGCCUCUUCCCCACCAGUCGAUCCGCCGACGCUCCGCGGUUCCGAUGUCCGGCAACCCGAGGGCCGAUGCCGACUGCUGGGCAGCCUGGCCUGCCCGGGCGGCGCCGCCUGCCCAGGAAGAUCUCAACCCCGCGCUCUAGGCGGCACGGGCGCCACCUAACGUUGUUGGGCGCGGGCGGCGCGGCCAGGCACCGUCCACCCUUACUCCACGACAAGCGCGAGCUGCUGCAAGGGCCGCAAGCCACACCGCGGCAACGACGCCACACACCCGGCGGGAGCAGGCGAACAUGCGGGCCGCACUCACAGUGGCGCGGGAGCUGCUGCGGUGCCGACUGAUGGAGAGCGGCCGGGAUGCGCUCUUGGAGCGCGUCGCCGAGCUACUAGAUGCGGCGGCCAUGGGAGCUCCGCCCUUCUGCUAUCAGCUCAUGUCUCAGGUGGUGGCUGGGUCCCACGGCGGGCCACACAGCGCCCGCGUACUCCCGGGUGCGCCCGGGGCCCUCGUCGACAUCAACAUGACCCACGAUGGAGGGCGCCCAGCCGCGCCCGCACCACCCCAGAUGGGUGCGGGCACAAGUGUUGCCGCGUACGGCCCCAUCGGAGCGCCGCCCUGCCAUCCUCAGGACAGCAUGAUAGGUCGGGCAACAUGGAGUGUGGGGCACUUCGGCGAGGUCUUCGGGGCAGUGGCCUCAGAGGCCUAUGUUCCCCACAUGAUGGACCAGGAGUACACACCGGAGGACGACCCUGGCUCGCUCCUCGGGCCAGGUUGGGAGGAGGAGGCGUUAGGAGCUGAAGCCUUCCAGGAGCCGCCAGAGAGCCCCACCAACCGCGCCGUCGACAACAGAUACAGGGUACCACUAAUCCCUCAGGAGCAAGCUUACGCUAACCAUGAGUCGCAAGGGGAUCAGGUCACCACAGCGGCUGGCGGCCCCAACUCGGCGACCUCCUUUCCGCCAGGGGGAUCGCGCUGGGGGCUGCAGGAGAGGGGUCGGGAGCUGGAUCCCUCCCCACGUCGCACGGAGCAAGGCGCCCCCCGGAGGUAGGUCCUCUACUGGGGAGGUGCUAAGAAGCCUGCCCCCGGCAGAGGACCCGUGGUCGCCGAGGGCGCUGCUAGCGUCCCCUUUGCCCCUUUGGUGGCGUCCUAGUUUUCGGUCGCCCCCAUCGGUGGCCGAGGGAGGCGCAAAGCGGAGCCCUCGUCUGGUGAUAUGAAGUAAGGCUCGCGCCUGUGAAGAUCGCCGCCCGUGACACUCUCACGUAAUAAUGAGUGGGGCUGUACACGCCCCGGAGUCUCCAGAGAGCCGCCCUCGGGCCUCGGGGGCUCCCUCCCAUGUCCUAGUGGCAGCACUUAGCUCCGCGCUGGUGAGAAGACUCGAAGACCAGAAGACUAGACUAGGCGCCGGAUGCAGCCAUUUGCUUUGGAUCUCUUUUCUGUAGCCUUGCCUUCCGGAUUUGGAUUUAAGUUGAAGUUAAAUUUUCAUUGACGCGCGCGGGGGGGGGGGGUGCCUUUUCUCGUUCGAGCGAUUUUUUUGCUAUUUCGUUCUUGCCUUGCCCUGGACCUUACGACCGCUGCCCCCCCACCCUCGUGGGCUCCUCGCGAGCGGGGCAGGGCGCAGCAUACGCGUCGCGUCGGCACCACGAUCAGCGCCAGAUUCUCGCGAAGCUCUCUCAGGCGAGCCAGCAGACUUUUCAGGAGUUCCUCGGGAGCUCACGAUCUCACGAUCCAGCACGAGGGCUUACCCGGCUAAGGUAAGCCGCAACGGGAAGUUUGCCGCCGGACGCACGGAUUCUCGAAGGUGCAUACUCGGCUUGACAUAAGGAAUAAAAGACAGCGGUUUGCUUACACGAGGGGCUCCCCCUCUCAAAAUGCUCUUACAAUCUUUAGGGGCCACGCCCGAGUUUUUGCAUACAGGAUAAAACAGCAGGGGAACAUGGGAUCAGCCGGAUAUGUCGCUCGCUGCAUCGCCUUUGGACAUGUCGCUCGCAUCGUCGUCACCUUCGCCAGCAUCGUCGUUGCCUUCGGCGGUGCCUCCAUCACCGUAAUUGACCACGUCGCCUUCGUCUACUGCGACCACCACCGCGUCGUCUUCAGAAGCGAAGGCCCUGACCAGCGCGUCCACAUUGUCCUCCACCCACCGCGCCAGGUCGCCCCAAAUGGCCUGCGGUACAGGGGCAAUGGCGGCGUCGAAGUCGAAGUCGGGGAAGGUGUUCCGAAGAUGGCUGAAGACACGGGAGAACGCGCGCCCGAGCAGGCCCCGGCUCCUCUCUUCCAUGAGCUGGCGAGCUCUAUUAGACCGGGCUUCCAGGCGCGUCACCGCGUCGGCAAAGAAGUGCAGGUGGCUGGCGUAGUCAUCCGAGUGGGGAUGCGGUGCAUUCUCGUCACAGACAUGGCCCAGCGACGCAUUGGCCCUGACCCUGAGGUCCUGGAGCAUGGGGGCGUGCUCGCGCUCCAAUGUCCGCCGCUGAAGCACUUCCUCCCUGUUUUGCCGCGCGACCGCCUUGGCGUCAUCAACCCGUUUCUGAAGAGAGAGCAGCUCGGCGCGGGCGGAAGCCAACUCUGCUUGCACCGUAACCAGGGCGGCCGUUGUGGCCUCCUCUCGCCUCUCUACCUCAGCCAGCCUGGGCCUAAGGGCAGUGGCCCGGCCUGCAGCCUCCGUCUCCGCAGGCUGCAACUUCAGAUCAUGCCAACCCUUAAGACCCGCGCAAACCUCGGCCACCCGGCGAUCGACCUCCUCCUGAGCUUUGGCCUCGCGUGCGCCAAUGGCAUCUUCCUCUUGGGCAACUUGGCGCUCCCUCGUCUCCAGCCGCUCAAGCUCGAGGCUACGCUCCACGGCUUCCAGAGCCAACGCCUCCUCGCGCCUCCGGACCUCUUCUUCCUCGGCGGGCGUCCUCCUCAACGACGCAAGGGCGGCUUGGCGCGCCUCCACCUGCUGCUCCAGGGACGCACUCCAGGCCUGGAGCUCCCACGCGUGCUUCUCUGCGGCUUCACAACGGCGGUCAGCCUCGCGAGCUUCCUCCAAAGCUCUGGAGCAGGCCUCACGAGAGACCUUAAGGGACGCCUUGGCCUUCGCAUUGUCAAGAUCACACUGACGACGGCCGAGGUUGAUGGCCACCUUCAACUUGUGCCACUCCUCUGCCAACCGAAGACCCUCGGCCUCAAGGCGCGCGUCGACACCCGCGAGUUCUUCACCGAGUCAGUUCAUCGCGCCCAUCGCCUCCUGGAAGAGCUCAUGACGAACGACGCUCCACCCGUGCUCGAACUCAAGCGCGCCCACCUCGUCCUCCGCCUCGGGGGCUGCAGGCGGGACGUGAAGCGGCGCACACCCUCCCAGCAGGGGGCUGGGGGCUGGUGCUGCCCCAGGCGCCAGCCGGGCCUCGCGAGGGGCCUUAGCCUAUUGGGGCCCGCUGCUUGAAGAGGAACCGAAGACCAAAGCCAACCAGCUACUGUCAAUGACCAGAUGAGGGGUCCUGGGCACGCCCGCCAGGCACCACACCAGGCCGUGGGGGAGGGAUGACGAGGCUGCAGGAUCAAUGCGCCAUGGAGGCAAGCGCGCCUCUCCAACCAACCCUGCUCCAGGGACAGCAUGCAGACUCGGAGCGCUCAAGGCCAGCGGGGGAGUCGAGGAAAGAGCGGGCUGCUUCUCGGGGGACACGGUGGCCUUGACGGAAGGGACCCUGAAGAACUAACAUCAGGAAGGGAAGCAGCACUCAAGAAGACACAAAGAUGGGGUAAUUACUCGUCAACGGCGAUGUACUUCCUCCGCUUCAAUGGCCCGAAGAUACCGCUGCUGCUCAGGGAUCCUUUCCUCUUGCGGAGCUCCUCGAAGUUCAUGCAAAACCGGCCGAAGCGCUGGACGUGGCGGCCGGCACGGGGCGUAGCCAGGGAAGCGCUCGGAGGGACAGCUUCAGGAGCGCCGAGCUGAGGAGAGCAGCCAGGCGCCGUUUGACCGCAACCCCUCCAGACCUCCAGGGCUUCGGCCUCGGGAGCCACGUGCUGCAUCGCCUCCGCAACCGACGCCCCAGGGGAGGAAUCAUGAGCUCUCGAGGACGACGCCCCAAGAUCCCCAGGCGGCAUAUGCACCUCAGCACUCGGGCCACCAGCUUCCGUCAGACCUCGCCCCCCCUGCACCCACACUCGGGAUGAGCUCGGCGCUGGCGGCGAAGAAGGGAGCCACGUCGACGGGGUUCUCGUGGGGCCCCAACAGGCCGUUGCUACCUCUUGAGUGCUGCGUUGGUUUUCCCUUGAAGAGGAAAGGGUGAUGCAGCAAAGUAGCGUAAGUAUUUCCCUCAGUUUUUGAGAACCAAGGUAUCAAUCCAGUAGGAGGCUACGCGCGAGUCCCUCGUACCUGCACAAUACAAAUAAAUCCUCGCAACCAACGCGAUAAGGGGUUGUCAAUCCCUUCACGGUCACUUACGAGAGUGAGAUCUGAUAGAUAUGAUAGGAUAAUAUUUUUGGUAUUUUUGUGAUAAAGAUGCAAAGUAAAAUAAAAGCAAAGUAAAAAGCAAAGGAAAUAACUAAGUGUUGGAAGAUUAAUAUGAUGAAGAUAGACCCGGGGCCCAUAGGUUUCACUAGUGGCUUCUCUCAAGAGCAUAAGUAUUUUACGGUGGGUGAACGAAUUACUGUGGAGCAAUUGACAGAAUUGAGCAUAGUUAUGAGAAUAUCUAGGUAUGAUCAUGUAUAUAGGCAUCACGUCCGAGACAAGUAGACCGACUCCUGCCUGCAUCUACUACUAUUACUCCACUCAUCGACCGCUAUCCAGCAUGCAUCUAGAGUAUUAAGUUCAUGAAAACAGAGUAACGCCUUAAGCAAGAUGACAUGAUGUAGAGGGAUAAAUUUGUGCAAUAUGAUAAAAAAACCAUCUUGUUAUCCUCGAUGGCAACAAUACAAUACGUGCCUUGCUGCCCCUACUGUCACUGGGAAAGGACACCGCAAGAUUGAACCCAAAGCUAAGCACUUCUCCCAUUGCAAGAAAGAUCAAUCUAGUAGGCCAAACCAAACUGAUAAUUCGAAGAGACUUGCAAAGAUAACCAAUCAUACAUAAAAGAAUUCAGAGAAGAUUCAAAUAUUGUUCAUAGAUAAUCUUGAUCAUAAACCCACAAUUCAUCGGUCUCAACAAACACACCGCAAAAAGAAGAUUACGUCGAAUAGAUCUCCACGAGAGAGGGGGAGAACAUUGUAUUGAGAUCCAAAAAGAGAGAGGAAGCCAUCUAGCUACUAACUAUGGACCCGAAGGUCUGAGGUAAACUACUCACACUUCAUCGGAGAGGCUAUGGUGUUGAUGUAGAAGCCCUCCAUGAUGGAUGCCCUCUCCGGCGGAGCUCCGGAACAGGCCCCAAGAUGGGAUCUCGUGGGUACAGAAGGUUGCGGCGGUGGAAUUAGGUUUUUGGCUCCGUAUCUGAUAGUUUGGGGGUACGUAGGUAUAUAUAGGAGGAAGGAGUAUCUUGGUGGAGCAACAGGGGGGCCACGAGGAUGGAGGGCGCGCCCUGGGGGGGUGGGCAUGCCCCCCUACCUCGUGGCUUCCUCUUUUGUUUCUUGACGUAGGGUCCAAGUCUCCCGGAUCAUAAUCUUCCUAAAAAUUGCGUUCCAGAAGGUUUCAUUCCGUUUGGACUUCGUUUGAUAUUCCUUUUCUACGAAACUCUGAAAUAGGCAAAAAACAGCAAUUCUGGGCUGGGCCUCCGAUUAAUAGGUUAGUCCCAAAAAUAAUAUAAAAGUGAAUAAUAAAGCCCAAUAAUGUCCAAAACAGUAGAUAAUAUAGCAUGGAGCAAUCAAAAAUUAUAGAUACAUUGGAGACGUAUCAAGCAUCCCCAAGCUUAAUUCCUGCUCGUCCUCGAGUAGGUAAAUGAUAAAUAGAUAAUUUUUGAUGUGGAGUGCUACUUGGCAUAAUUUCAAUGUAAUUCUUCUCAAUUGUGGUAUGAAUAUUCAGAUCCGAAAGAUUCAAGAUAAAAGUUCAUAUUGACAUAAAAAUAAUAAUACUUCAAGCAUACUAACUAAGCAAUUAUGUCUUCUCAAAAUAACAUGGCCAAAGAAAGUUCAUCCCUACAAAAUCAUAUAGUUUAGUCAUGCUCCAUUUUCGUCACACAAGAAUGCUCUCAUCAUGCACAACCUCGAUGACAAGCCAAGCAAUUGUUUCAUACUUUAGAAAUCUCAAACCUAUAAACUUUCACGCAAUAUAUGAGCGCGAGCCAUGGACAUAGCACUAUGGGUGGAAUAGAAUAUGAUGAUGGGGGUUAUGUGGAGAAGACAAAAAAGGAGAAAGUCUCACAUCAGAGAGGCUAAUCAAUGAGCUAUGGAGAUGCCCAUCGAUUGAUGUUAAUGCAAGGAGUAGGGAUUGCCAUGCAACGAAUGCACUAGAGCUAUAAAUGUAUGAAAGCUCAACAAAAGAAACUAAGUGGGUGUGCAUCCAACUUGCUUGCUCACGAAGACCUAGGGCACUUGAGGAGGCCCAUUGUUGGAAUAUACAAGCCAAGUUCUAUAAUGAAAAUUUUCCACUAGUAUAUGAAAGUGACAAAACAAGAGACUCCUUAUCAUGAAGAUUAUGGUGCUACUUUGAAGCACAAAUGUGGCAAAGGAUAGUAUCAUUGUCCCUUCUCUCUUUUUCUCUCAUUUUUUGGGCCUUCUCUUUUUUUAUGGCCUUUCUCUCUUUUUUUCCUCACUUGGGACAAUGCUCUAGAAAAUGAUGAUCAUCACACUUCUAUUUAUUUACAAAUCAAUGAUUACAACUCGAUACUAGAACAAAGUAUGACUCUAUAUGAAUGCCUCCGGCGGUGUACCGGGAUAUGCAAUGAACCAAGAGUAACAUGUAUGAAAGAAUUAUGAACGGUGGCUUUGCCACAAAUACUAAGUCAACUACAUGAUCAUGCUAGCAAUAUGACAAUGAUGGAUGUGUCAUGAUAAACGGAAUGGUGGAAAGUUGCAUGUCAAUAUAUCUCGGAAUGGCUAUGGAAAUGCCAUAAUAGGUAGGUAUGGUGGCUGUUUUGAGGAAGAUAUAAGGAGGUUUAUGUGUGAAAGAGUGUAUCAUAUCACGGGGUUUGGAUGCACCUGCGAAGUUUGCACCAACUCUGAAUGUGAGAAAGGGCAAUGCACGGUACCGAAGAGGCUAGCAAUGAUGGAAGGGUGAGAGUGCGUAUAAUCCAUGGACUCAACAUUAGUCAUAAAGAACUCACAUACUCAUUGCAAAAAUCUACAAGUCAUCAAAAACCAAGCACUACGCGCAUGCUCCUAGGGGGAUAGAUUGGUAGGAAAAGAUCAUCGCUCGUUCCCGACCGCCACUCAUAAGGAGAACAAUCAAAGAACACCUCAUGUUUCAAAUUUAUUACAUAACGUUUACCAUACGUGCAUGCUACGGGACUUGCAAACUUCAACACAAGCAUUUCUCAAAUUCACAACUAUUCAACUAGCACGACUUUGAUAUUAUUACCUCCAUAUCUCAAAACAAUCAUCAAGAAUCAAACUUCUCUUAGUAUUCAACACACUCAUAAGAAAGUUUUUACUAUUCUUGAAUACCUAGCAUAUUAAGAUUAUUUAAGCAAAUUACCAUGCUAUUUUAGACUCUCAAAAUAAUCUAAGUGAAGCAUGAGAGAUCAAUAGUUUCUAUAAAACAAAUCCACCACCGUGCUCUAAAAGAUAUAAGUGAAGCACUAGAGCAAAACUAUAUAACUCAAAAGAUAUAAGUGAAGCACAAAGAGUAUUCUAAUAAUUUCCAAAUCAUGUAUGGCUCUCUCAAAAGGUGUGUACAGAAAGGAUGAUUGUGGUAAACUAAAAAGCAAAGACUCAAACCAUACAAGACACUCCAAGCAAAACACAUAUCAUGUGGUGAAUAAAAAUAUAGCUCCAAAUAAAGUUACCGAUGGAAGUAGACGAAAGAGGGGAUGCCUUCCGGGGCAUCCCCAAGCUUUGGCUUUUUGGUGUCCUUAGAUUAUUUUGGGGGUGCCAUGGGCAUCCCCAAGCUUAGGCUCUUGCCACACCUUGUUCCAUAAUCCAUCAAAAAUCUUUCACCCAAAACUUGAAAACUUCACAACACAAAACUCAACAGAAAUCUCGUGAGCUCCGUUAGCGAAAGAAAACAAAAGACCACUUCAAGGUACUGUAAUGAACUCAUUCUUUAUUUAUAUUGGUGUUAAACCUACUGUAUUCCAACUUCUCUAUGGUUUAUAAACUAUUUUAUUAGCCAUAGAUUCAUCAAAAUAAGCAAACAACACACGAAAAACAGAAUCUGUCAAAAACAGAACAGUCUGUAGUAAUCUGGAACUAACGCAAACUUCUGGAACUCCAAAAAAUCAGCCAAAAUAGGACGACCUAGGAAAUUUGUUUAUUGAUCAGCAGCAAUUGGAAUCACUAUUUUAUCACGUUCUGGUGAUUUUUAACAAUUGUUUUCGUGAACAGAAAGUUUCUGGAAAUUACAGCAAGAUCAAAUAACUAUCACCCAAGAAGAUCCUAUAGGUUUAACUUGGCACAAACACUAAUUAAAACAUUAAAAAAAUCUAACCAGAGGCUAGAUCAAAGAUUUAUUCCUAAACAGAAGCAAAAGCAAAAAAAACUAAAAAUAAAAUCGGGUUGCCUCCCAACAAGCGUUAUCGUUUAACGCCCCUAGCUAGGCAUUGAUAAUUUUAACGAUGCUCACAUCAAAGACAAGAAUUGAAGCGCAAAAAGAGCAUCAUGAAACACGCGACAAAAUAUCUAAGUCUAACAUACUUCCUAUGCAUAGGCAUCUUAUAGGCAAACAAAUUAUCAUAGCAAGCAAAAACUAGCAUAUGCAAGGAAGCGGAAAGAAACAAUAGCAAUCUCAACAUAAUGAGAGGUAAUUUAUUAUCAUGAAAAUUUCUACGACCAUAUUUUCCUCUCUCAUAAUAAUUACAUGUGGGAUCAUAAGAAAAUUAAACAAAAUAGCUAUCACAUAAAAUAUUUUCAACACGAUCCUCAUGCAUGCAAAGUUGACACUCUUCCGAAAUAGUGGGAUUAACAUUAACUAAAGUCAUGACCUCUCCAAACCCACUUUUAUCAAAAAUUUCACAAGAUUGAAUAUUCUCCAAAUAUGUGGGAUCUAAAGUUGACACUCUUCCAAGCCCACUUUCAAUAUUAUUGCAAACAAUAUUAUCAAUCUCAUAUUCAUCAUGGGGAUUAAAUAAAUUUUCAAGAUCAUAAGAAGAAUCACCCCAAUCAUGAUCAUUGCAACAAGUAGUAGACAUAGCAAAACUAGCAUCCCCAAGCUUAGGGUUUUGCAUAUUAUUAGCACAAUUGACAUCAAGAGAAUUUAUAGUAAAAUCAUUGAAAUCAUGCUUUUCAUCGAGGGAACUAUCAAGCAUGGGUGCAAUAGCAACGAUCUCAUGUUUAACAUAAGGAACUAUAGCAAAAUCAUCUUCAUAAAUAUUGGCAUCAUGGCCACAAGAAUAGCAAGCAUCAUGUUCAUCAAGGGAUAUUUCAACCAAAUCAUCGGAAUCAUCAUUAUCUAUGGAUUCAUGCAUAUCAUUAUUUUCUUCCAAAGCAACGGUCAUUCUUUCAAUAAAUUCUUGGACAUAGACAUUGUGAGCAAGGUUUUCAUUGCAAUAUUUAAGUAUGACGGAAUUUUAAGAUUUGUUGAGAGUAAAAUCAUACUUUUCAAUCAAAUAAGCAACUUCAUGAGCACCCUUAAAAACAACGAAUUCUUCAAUUUGUUCGAUAUCAUAGUAGCUAUAAACACCCUUUGCAUAAGAAGAUAAGAUUUCAUUAUCAUUGAACUCACAUAGGUAGGGAAGGUGUUUUUUAGGGUUCUUAGAGCAACAAGUAAUAUCACACAUUUCACAAAGAUUCCAAGCAUAGCAUAGCAAACUAUUUAUAUGAUACCAUAAGAGCUUCCCUUUUUCAAACAAACAAUGACGCACAAAAUGAGCAUGCUCAUCUAAAGAUUUCCCAUCAACUAGGCUAGUUGGGGUUUCAGCACGAGCGCAUAAGGAUCAAAGAUGAUCCAAGUAAAACAAUUUAAGUGGAUCCAUAUCAAUACAUUUUCAGCAAGCGAAGAUGCAAGCAUAUAGAAGGCACGAGGAAACACAAACAAAGAUACAUACGGGAAGAAGGUGAACGAAAAAGAGAGGGUGAAUAAAACGGCAAGGGUGAAGUGGGGGAGAGGAAAACGAGAGGCAAAUGGCAAAUAAUGUAAUGCGGGAGAUAAGGGAUUGUGAUGGGUACUUGGUAUGUUGACUUUUGCGUAGACAUCCCCGGCAACGGCGCCAGAAAUCCUUCUUGCUACCUCUUGAGCACUGCGUUGGUUUUCCCUUGAAGAGGAAAGGGUGAUGCAACAAACUAGCGUAAGUAUUUCCCUCAGUUUUUGAGAACCAAGGUAUCAAUCCAGUAGGAGGCUACGCGCUAGUCCCUCGUACCUGCACAAUACAAAUAAAUCCUCGCAACCAACGCAAUAAGGGGUUGUCAAUCCCUUCACGGUCACUUACGAGAGUGAGAUCUGAUAGAUAUGAUAGGAUAAUAUUUUUGGUAUUUUUGUGAUAAAGAUGCAAAGUAAAAAAGCAAAGGAAAUAACUAAGUGUUGGAAGAUUAAUAUGAUGAAGAUAGACCCGGGGGGCAUAGGUAUCACUAGUGGCUUCUCUCAAGAGCAUAAGUAUUUUACGGUGGGUGAACGAAUUACUGUUGAGCAAUUGACAGAAUUGAGCAUAGUUAUGAGAAUAUCUAGGUAUGAUCAUGUAUAUAGGCAUCACGUCCGAGACAAUUAGACCGACUCCUGCCUGCAUCUACUACUAUUACUCCACUCAUCGACCGCUAUCCAGCAUGCAUCUAGAGUAUUAAGUUCAUGAAAAUAGAGUAACGCCUUAAGCAAGAUGACAUGAUGUAGAGGGAUAAAUUCAUGCAAUAUGAUAAAAAAACCAUCUUGUUAUCCUCGAUGGCAACAAUACAAUACGUGCCUUGCUGCCCCUACUGUCACUGGGAAAGGACACCGCAAGAUUGAACCCAAAGCUAAGCACUUCUCCCAUUGCAAGAAAGAUCAAUCUAGUAGGCCAAACCAAACUGAUAAUUCAAAGAUACUUGCAAAGAUAACCAAUCAUACAUAAAAGAAUUCAGAGAAGAUUCAAAUAUUGUUCAUAGAUAAUCUUGAUCAUAAAUCCACAAUUCAUCGGUCUCAACAAACACACCGCAAAAAAAAAGAUUACAUCGAAUAGAUCUCCACGAGAGAGGGGGAGAACAUUGUAUUGAGAUCCAAAAAGAGAGAGGAAACCAUCUAGCUACUAACUAUGGACCCGAAGGUCUGAGGUAAACUACUCACACUUCAUCGGAGAGGCUAUGGUGUUGAUGUAGAAGCCCUCCGUGAUAGAUGCCCUCUCCGGCGGAGCUCCGGAAUAGGCCCCAAGAUGGGAUCUCGUGGGUACAGAAGGUUGCGGGCGGUGGAAUUAGGUUUUUGGCUCCGUAUCUGAUCGUUCGGGGGUACGUAGGUAUAUAUAGGAGGAAGGAGUACGUCGGUGGAGCAACAGGGGGCCCACGAGGGUGGAGGGCUCUCCCUGGGGGGGUGGGCGCGCCUCCCUACCUCGUGGCUUCCCCUUUUGUUUCUUGACGUAGGGUCCAAGUCUCCUGGAUCAUAAUCUUCCUAAAAAUCGCGUUCCCGAAGGUUUCAUUCCAUUUGGACUCCGUUUGAUAUUCCUUUUCUGCGAAACUCUGAAAUAGGCAGAAAACAACAAUUCUGGGCUGGGCCUCCGGUUAAUAGGUUAGUCCCAAAAAUAAUAUAAAAGUGAAUAAUAAAGCCCAAUAAUGUCCAAAACAGUAGAUAAUAUAGCAUGGAGCAAUCAAAAAUUAUAGAUACGUUGGAGACGUAUCAGCCGUCCGGACGCAGCCCCCACUCGUCAAAGGAAGGCAUGCUCUCUACAAAUUCAGCCUUGUUCGUGCAAUGGUACAGCAGACAACUCUUCCCAGGCAUGUUGUCCAGCAAAGGGACACCUAUCAGGACCUCGAGCACUAUUUGCCGCGUCUCAAGAGGGAGCCCGGACUCCUGAAGCCUCAUAUGGUCCUGGCUGCUGAGCAAAGCCCACAUUGGGCGAGAAUGGUGCUGAAGCGGAGCGACUCGGCGUCUGGCAAACUUCUUCACCACCAUAGGCGCAGUCAUGCCGCGGUCCUUCAACCUCCUCAGCCUGAGCCAGACGGGGCCAAGACAGGAGCUCGCGAGCUUCUCGUGGCCCCAAUCGGAGUUGGGAACGGCAGGCGCUGAUGGAGAAUGGAGAAGAGGGCUGAGCACCCCAGCGUCGACAAAUACCCACUGUGUCCGAAACUCGCUCGUGGAUGGAGGAAGCUCGAAAUCGAUCCCCGCGCCUGCUGUCGCAGCCACAGCCUGGAAGCUCACGCACCCCGAGCUUUGCUGAGGAUCCAUCAGGUGUAAUGAGAAGAAAUGACGGAGAAGGGCCACGGAAGGGGUAAUGCCCACCAUGGCCUCACACACGAAGGCGAAGACGGCGAGGAGAGUCACGGAUUGGGGGUCGAGAUACAGCAGGUGGAUCUGUGGGACUUCGGUGGCUGCCCGGUCAAUGCAAGCGCGAGAUGCAGGCCAAGCCACCGUCUUUCCCCACUCGUUGGAGCUGGUGGCAAGCAUGGGACGCACCUUGCCCAUGGCCUCAUUGUUGAGCACCAGCGAUCGGCCAACUGCGGGCUCGACGGCUGGAGGCGCACUUGGCGAAGACAGAGGUUUCUUCCCCUUGUCUGCUUGUUUCGGCGCCAUGGCGAUGAAGCAGGCAGAGCACAGGUCAGAUUGGAGAGGAUUAGCAGAGCCUCGGAGGAGCAGAGGGAUUGGGGAAGUAAGGCGUGGGCGAUGGAAGAAUAACUGUGUAGGUAGCGGGGGCCGCAUAGCCAGGCGGACUCCAAGGCAGCAUGGGGAAGCGGAGACGCCCACAUCCAAUCAACCGCCAUGCAUCGACCAAGGCCGCAGGCUUUUGGGGCCCACGGCGCUCCGCACUUGACCUUUGGCUUCGCCUCGAAGCCAAGCCCGAGCGCGCCUUGGGCCCGGGGGCUACUGUCGGCAUUCUGGGAACGGGGGUCCCCAGACUUGCCUGCCUGCGGCCCACGGCGUGGCUCUGCACGUGGGCCCGUACAGCCCAUCUUCAUCAACAAGGUGUUCAAGACCCUCGUGAGGGGCCAAGCCUUGCGAGGCGGGCGACACAAGACCUCCUCAGGAGCGGCCUCACCAAGUUGGCUCGCGAGGAGCGGAGAUAUCAAGGCGAAGCAAACCUCACGAGGUUCUCGUGACAUGAGCCAUGACGAUCAAGAUCAGGCGGGCGCCAGCGCGCACAGUGUCCUUGUUUCCCCUUUGGUGCUAAGGAAGCAAGCGCAGGCGUGGAGUACCGAGGCGUCAAGCAAAGGUUUCCAUAUCAGUGCAACGAGACCAAGACCAGCAUGGUGUCACCACCAGAGCCUUUUGCAGGCGAAGACCGCUUUUGUCAGGAUAAGCUGUACUAGUUGUCCCCUUUCAAAUUGGCCAUUAUUGGCUCCCUUCCUGCUCAAUAUUUGGGGAAAGGACCAGGGCCUAUAUAAGUAGGACUAGCCACCACAGUAGGGGGCAACUAAGCCUGAGCUGAUCGAAUCCACACACACAAGCUUGCCAAGCACAAGAACACCUCAACCUCAGGAGGUUGUUCUUCCCCUUGUACUGUUCAUCAUCAGCCCAAGAGGCAAUCCACCAGCACCACACUGGAGUAGGGUAUUACACUGUUCUCGUGUAUCUAAAUUCUGUCAAGUAUCUUCAUUCAUUUUCUAAUUCUUUCCGUUGAAUUGUGCCUUUGCUACUUUCAUUUCCAAUUCUUACGGUGGUUCGUUCAAGAUUUCUCUUCCCCCGUUACCAUAUCAAUUCAUUCGUUGUUUCCAAAUCCUACCGGUGUUUCGAUGAAGACCUUCCCAAGUUUGCGCUAUAUCUAUCUUAAUCCUUUCUACGAGAAUAAGUAGUAUGCCUAAAUCCGUUGCUUGUCAUCAAUCUAAAUUGGUGAAGCCUAAGCAUAAUGUAAUUCUUAUUCUUGUUUCCUCCAAGUGAUUAAUUCCUUCUUCCGGAGUUCGUUCAUGAUAUCAAACUCUCGGUUCCAAGUUGUUCAUCUUUUCUUUCCGGAGUUCCAAGUUUUCUUGGUUAUAUCAUUUCAAAGGUUCUUCUAAUCAUUGCAAGGCUUCUCCCGGAGUUCUUUUCUAGUUUCCAUUUCGUUUGAUCAUUAUUUUAUUACUGGAGUUCUUCAUGGAGGCUCUACAUGGUGAUUCGUCAAGGAUUCCUUUCAUUCUUCAAUUGUUCUUCAAGAUUUCUCUCGGAGUCAAGAUCUGUCAAGCUAUACUCUAAAAUAAACAGGGUGUUCAACACAUGUUUUGUUUUGAGGAGUUUAAGCAUUCUUCAUAUUGCAUUCCGAAGUGCAAUUCUUUCCCUCUUAUCUUUUGAGGUGGUGUUAUGUCAUUUUCACAACUUCCUUUCCUGUUUCAUGAUUCACAUGUUGUCAAGAAUGAGAUAUUUUAAAUCCACCAAUCUCUUUGUUGGAGUUAUCUUGUGUCAUGUUUCACCUAAAGCCUUCCCUAAGGAAUGUUGCUAAUUGUGGUGUCUAACAAUGAUCCAAGUUUUCUCCUAUCCUCUCGGCGACAGAAGUUUUCUUCUCUUCGUUGAUCUCAAGCAAGAAAUUGUUUCCGCUAGUGGCGGGUUCUCACCUCAUAAUUUUGAGAUGUGUUCCAUAAGCCCACUACAAGCUUAUUCUUUUCGUUGUUGGUUUUUCCAACAAACUCCGUUAUAACCUUCUUGGAAGGAUGCUUUCCAAGCUCAUUUGUGGCAGAAGUUGUCAUUUUCUUCUCCGUUAUCUUAUUCCGACGAUCUAUCUCCUAUUCGUCGUCCCGGAGGCAUUGUGAUGUUGCUCUCUUCGACCAAUCAUCUUGUUUGUCAAGAUCAUGUAAUUUUUCCUUUCUUAUCCGUUUAGCCGGAGUGUCGUGUUUUCAUUCGAGUUCUCUCAUCUUAUCAAGUUUUGUCUCCUUCCUCAACCGGAGUGCUGCCUGAAAUUUUUCUUACCCCUUGUGUCAUUCUUUCAUUAGUUCCGGAGGCAAUGUGUUGGUAAUUUCAUCGAGUAUCCUCUCAUCUUGUCAAGUUCAUGUUCAAUUCCUUCCAUUUACAGUCGGAGUGCUGCCCAAAUUAUAUCAUUCUUAUUCCUUCCCUAUCUUGUUUUAACCGGAGUGGUUUAAAUAUCUAUCGUGUCAAUUAACCUCAAGGUUCACAUGGUGUUCCUUGUUUCUCUUUUCUACCGGUGUGCUUUCAUACUCCUUUUGAUCCGUUAAGCACUUGUUUCAUGUCCUUCAACCUACAAGGUUCUCGCAAUGUUCCUUGUUUCUCUUUUAUAACGGAGUGUUUGCAAUCGCGUUCAUCUCCAUUGUAUUCUUCUUUAAAUUAUUAACCUCUCAAGGUUCGCGGUUUCACUCGUUUGCCAAAGAAGCAAUUUGUUUUACCUCUUCCUCUUCCGCUUUUCUCCGGUGCCAUCCUAGAUCUCGGGACGAGAUCCUCUUGUAGUGGUGGAGUGUUGUGACGCCCCGAGACCGUCGCUUCAGAAGACUUCCUAUUUUCGUGAUCACCGCGUGUUUCUUUUGGUGCUUGCUCUUUUAUUUUUGCAUUGCAUCAUGUCAUCAUGCCAUCAUGUCAUUAAUCUUUGCAUCAAAACUCAACUAAAUAAAUUGCAUGGAUCUUCGAUCCAUUUAAAUCGAGGGAAUUCACAUGGUGAUUUCUCUUUAUAACAUAUCCUCCUAAUAUUUAUGGAGCUAUUAUAAAUAUUCCAUUAGUUUGGAAUUAACCGGAACACACUUGCAAAAUAAUUCCCAUGCCUAUUUCCACUUCAAGUUUCACCUCCAAGCUUUGCCAACAAUUCUUUUCCCUCUUAUCGAGACCCUUCCUAAAUGUUCAACAUGUUGGACACUUUGUAAUCCUACUCCUUCUUCUCAUCUUCUUUUCUGUUUCAGCUUGCCCUUUCCAUCUAAAACAUCAUCUAGUGCAACACCCCAUCACAAGCGUCUUCCUUUCUAUUCUCACCCAUUUAUUGCAAGUGGUAUUUUUUCUGUCCCAGUAAAAUGUUCACUUACUUUCUGUAAAUCUUAAACCAUGCCAACUACCUCUUUGUCAAAUCUCAUCUCUUUUAAAGUUGUUUUGGUUGGGUUAAGAAAUGGCUCAAGUUUGAAUUCAAUUUAAACUUGAAUUAUUUUUCUUCCUCUAAAAAUUGCCAAACCAAUUUAUUCAAAUUGUGUAUAUUAUCAAGACUUCAGAGAUAUUUUCUUUCCUAAAAUAUUCCACCUCUAGCACCUCCUUCUUUUCUCUAAAGUUCUGGUUGAGGAAAUAAAGAAAAGAAGGAAGAAAGGGAGAAAGCCCAGCUGGUCAAUUGGGCCUCCCAGCAAGCCGGCCCACCUAAACCCUCCUCUUAACCCUAGCCCGCACCCAGCGCUCGAUCCCCAUCUCUCCCGAUCUCCUCCCUCACGCCGCCACCCACGCGCAGCCCUCGAUCCCCCUCGCUCCCUCGCCCCGUCCCUCCAGCGCCAUCGUCGCCCCGCCUCCGUUCGGCUCCCACGCCGAAGUCCACCGCCGCGGCCCUGCCGGACGUUGGUGACCCCGACGCGCCCGCGCCCGAUCUGCUCCGGCCCGCCUAGCUCAUCAUCUCCGCCCCGCGCCUCGACUCAGCGCCGCCCCGCCAUGGAUGCCACCAUCCCGCUUCGAGCUUCGCCAUCACCGCGUCCUCCCUCUGCCUCCUCGCGAGCUUCCUCCCAUGGCGCCGCCUUGCCUCCAUGGCCACUGGAGCCAUGCCCCUUCGCCGUCGUGUCGCCUUGCCUCGCCUCCUGCCUCCCGCGUGCCCCGCUGGGCGCGUGUGUGCCCGUGUCCAGCGCCUCCCGCUCGCUCCGCCACGGCCUCCUCGACGUGGUCGAGCCCGACCAGCACCCUCUCGUCGGUGAACCUCCGCCGCACGCUUCCCUCCGUCCUGGCCAUCACCUCCCCGACGCCCUUGCUGCUGCUGCUAGACCACCGUCGCCUCCUUGCUGCUGGCAUCCCGAGGCCUUGUGAUGUUUUGUGUUUGCUUUGUUUUGGUUGCCCCAAGAUUCUCUUCGACAAGUGUACAGCUAUCCGGUGAUGCGCCAAGUACCCCUUGGAUCGUCAAGUUCGACUACACGAAACCGCCAAGUACCACUACGAUUGCCGUGUACAUCUACGGACGCCAAGCCCGGAACAACAAGUACCCCGAUAACGUGGGUAACUCUAGCGUCGACCCCGUGGACGUCAAGUACCUCUACCGACGACCCCGAACAUUUACGAAAACGUGUACCACUACCGUCGCCGUGUACCACUACUUCCCUCGGCGACCCGUGAACAACUACUCCCACUACCGUCAAACCCGAGCCACUCCGAAAAUGCACGCUUCGAAGGUAUAACCGCCGAGGCGACGCCCGUGAACGAAUGCAUGUGUUGUAUGAGAUGCUCGUGUUUGCACCAUGUCUGAAUUGGUCCUUGCACGUUCCUCGUUUUCCUUGCCACCGUCAUGUGGGAACCCGGUAACCGGGAUCACCCCACCAUCUUUUGCAUGUUCCGCACAUCCGCACAAUUCUCUUUUGCGCCGGUAUCUCCACGAGCUACCGGAACCGAUAUGUUGCCGUGACACCAUUUUCGGAUUCAUUGCCGUGGCACCCCUUUCUUCCACCACGGCGACAAAUGCUCCAUAACAUGCUCAUAUCAACAUUUUCAUAAGAUUGCUAUAACUUACUUCUGUCAUUCGCAUCAUGAUAACAACAUUUAAAUGUCUAAAAUUGAUGUUUGCAUUAAAAUUGCUAAAUGACAUGAGGAUUUUCCGGAAUUAUUGUUUGUUGUUCCGGCCUCAUUUAAACUUGCCUAAAUAGGUAGUUUCCAUAUGCUUCACCUCUUUCCAUGGUUAAUAACAUUUAAUAUUGUUGGGUCCAUAAACGAGAGAGAACUAAAUAAUUAAAUGUGGUGUUUCUUCAAUAUGCAACUCGUUGCAUAUUGAGGUCCACUUAACUUGUAGUAUUGUUUGUUGCACUUUGCCAUGCCAUGCCUCAUUAAACUGGACAUGCAUCAUAUUUGUUUUUGCAUCAUGCCAUGUGUAUGUGGUGGUUGUUUACUUUGUUGUUUGUUUCUUUCCGGGUUGCUUCUUUCGUUAGCUUCGGUUUCGUUCCGGAGUUGUGAGGACUCGUUCGUCUACAUCCGCUUGUCUUCUUCAUGGACUCGUUCUUCUUCCUUGCGGGAUCUCAGGCAAGAUGACCAUACCCUCGAAAUCACUUCUAUCUUUGCUUUGCUAGUUGCUCGUUCUAUUGCCAUGAUGCGCUACCUACCACUUGCUAUUUCAUGCCUCCCAUAGUGCCAUGAACCUCUAACCUUUGUCACCUUCCUAGCAAACCGUUGUUUGGCUAUGUUACCGCUUUUGCUCAGCCCCUCUUAUAGCGUUGUUAGUUGCAGGUGAAGAUGAAGAUUGCUCCAUGUUGGAUUAUGUUUAUGUUGGGAUAUCACAAUAUCUCUUAUAUUAUUAAUGCAUCUAUAUAUUUGGUAAAGGGUGGAAGGCUCGGCCUUAUGCCUGGUGUUUUGUUCCACCCUUGCCGCCCUAGUUUCGUCAUACCGGUGUUAUGUUCCUUGAGUUUGCGUUCCUUACGCGGUUGGGUGAUUUAUGGGACCCCCUUGACAGUUCGCUUUGAAUAAAACUCCUCCAGCAAGGCCCAACCUUGGUUUUACCAUUUGCUACCACCUAUCCCCUUUUCCCUUGGGUUCUGCAGACUCAAGGGUCAUCUUUUUUUAACCCCCCCGGGACAGUGCUCCUUCGAGUGUUGGUCCGAAACGAGUAGACUGCGGGGCCACCUCGGGGAAACUUGAGGUCUGGUUUUACUCGUAGGAUGUCUCAUCCGGUGUUGCCCUGAGAACGAGAUAUGUGCAGCUCCUAUCGGGAUUUGUCGGCACAUCGGGCGGCUUUGCUGGUCUUGUUUUACCAUUGUCGAAAUGUCUUGUAAACCGGGAUUCCGAGACUGAUCGGGUCUUUCUGGGAGAAGGUUUAUCCUUCGUUGACCGUGAGAGCUUAUAAUGGGCUAAGUUGGGACACCCCUGCAGGGUAUUAUCUUUCGAAAGCCGUGCCCGCGGUUAUGUGGCAGAUGGGAAUUUGUUAAUGUCCGGUUGUAUAGAACUUGACACUUGACCUUAUUUAAAACGCAUCAACCGCGUGUGUAGCCGUGAUGGUCUCUUCUCGGCGGAGUCCGGGAAGUGAACACGGUUCUUGUGUUAUGUUUGAGGUAAGUAGGAGUUCAGGAUCAUUUCUUGAUCAUUGCUAGUUCACGACCGCUCCGCUGCUUCUCUUCUCGCUCUUAUUUGCGUAUGUUAGCCACCAUAUAUGCUUAGUCGCUGCUGCAACCUCACCACCUUACCCUUGCCUCCCCUUAAGUUUAAAUAGUCUUGAUCUCGCGGGUGUGAGAUUGCUGAGUCCUCGUGACUCACAGAUACUUCCAAAACAGUUGCAGGUGCCGAUGAUACCAGUGCAGGUGACGCAACCGAUCUCAAGUGGGAGCCCGAUGAAGAUCUUGUUUGUUGUGUUGUUCCUUUUCAUGUUGAUCAGUAGUGGAGCCCAGUUGGGACGAUCAGGGAUCUAGCAGUUGGGUUGUCUUCUUUUAUUUUGGUUCCGUAGUCGGACCUAUGCGUGUAUCUUGAAUGAUGUAUGAUUUCAUUUAUGUAUUGUGUGAAGUGGCGAUUGUAAGCCAAUUCUUUAUCCCAUUCUUGUUCAUUACAUGGGAUUGUGUGAAGAUGACCCUUCUUGCGACAAAACCACAAUGCGGUUAUGCCUCUAAGUCGUGCCUCGACACGUGGGAGAUAUAGCCGCAUCGUGGGCGUUACACAACAGGUCAAAACAAGGAACCGAAGGCAGAAACGGAGGCAGAAGGCGAUGGAACCAAGCCGGCAAGGAACACCAGAAAGCAAAUUUUCAUUAAAGAGGGGCAAGCCAACUGCGGAAAGCAAAUGAAAAGCCGCGUCCGGCACCUAGUCUAGUCUUCUUGUCUUCUCACCAGCGCGGAGCUAAGUGCUGCCACUAGGACGUGGGAGGGAGCCCCCGAGGCCCGAGGGCGGCACUCCUGAGACUCCGGGGCAUGUACAGCCCCACUCAUUAUUACGUGAGAGUGUCACGAGCGGAGACCUUCACAGGCACUGGGCCUUGCUUCACAGGGACCGGACCUUGCUUCAUGGGUAGAACUUCCGGAGGUGCUGGAUGUUCCAGGCGUUCUGGAUGGGGACCCCGUCCCGCGUCUCCAGGCGCGCGGCGCCAGACCUGGAGACGUGGGCGACCCUAAACGGGCCCUCUCACAUGGGUGAAAGCUUAUGCAGCCCUUCCCUGGAGAGCACCCGCCUUAGGACGAGGUCACCCACCUCGAGCGUCCUGGAGCGGAUGCUGCGACAGUGAUACCGUCGCAGCGCCUGCUGGUAUCUUGCCGCUCGAAGCGUGGCUUCACGGCGGCGUUCCUCCCCCAGCACAAGGUCCAUCCUCCGCAUGGCGUCCGGCCGCAUCUCAUCAAACGCCAGGACCUGCUCGGAGCGAUGCUUGACCUCGUGAGGGAGAACCGCCUCUGCUCCAUAGACGAGGAAGAAUGGGGUCUCGCCCGUUGGCUUGGUGGCGGUGGUGCGGAUGGAACACAACACAGACUGGAGCUAGUCAUGCCAGCCCCUGCCGCAGGCCUUGAGCUUCUUCUUGAAGGUCCUGGUCUUGAGGCCUCUCAGGACCUCCGCGUUGGCGCGUUCGGCUUGACCAUUGCUCCUGGGGUGCACCACCGAAGCGUAGCAGAUCUGCGUUCCAAGGUUAGCACAAUAUGUCUUGAAGAGAUUGCUAGUUAACUAUGAGCCGUUGUCGGUGAUGAUGUGAUUGGGGACCCCGAACCGACUCACGAGACCCUUGAUGAACUUAACCACGGAUCCGGCCGGGAUGGUGCGGACAACUUCUACCUCCGCCCACUUGGUGAACUUGUCGAUGGCGACGCAGAGGUAGCGGUAACCCCCAGGCGCUCGGGGGAACGGGCCUAAGAUAUCCAGCCCCCAGACUGCGAAUGGCCACAAGAGCGGAAUGGUCUAGAGGCCCUAAGCCAACUGAUGGAUCUGCUUGGCGUGGAAUUGGCAGGCCUCGCAGGACUUCACCAGCUCGGUUGCGUCGUUGAGCGCCGUAGGCCAGUAGAACCCGCUGCGGAAUGCCUUGCCGACGAGGGUUCGUGAAGAUGAGUGGUGUCCGCAGUCUCCGCCGUGUAUGUCAGCUAGCAACUCGUUCCCCUGUUCCCUGGAGAUACAACGCAAGGAAACGUCAUUUGGCCGCUUCCUGUAUAACUCACCGUCCUGGAUGCAGUACGCUGUAGCCUGUCGGGCCACGCGCUCCGCGUCCUCCUCCUUCUCCGGCAGCGUCCCUUGUGUCAGGUAUUCCUUGAACUCCUUGGUCCAGCACCCCUCCUGAGGCUCGAGCGCCAGGAGUAGGCGCACUCCUGAGGUUGGGCCGCAGGCCGGGGCUCCCGAGGCAGGUGGUUGGGGAAGCUCCUCCCGAGGCGGCACCGGCCUCGAAAGUGGAGGUGCUGCCGACGGCUUGAAGAGUCGCUCCUCGAAGACGCCGGGCUCUUGGGGUAGUCGCUUGGAUGCUCUCUUGGCGAUGUCGUCGGCCUCCUUAUUGGUGCCACGGGGAACAUGCUGCAAUUCUAGGCCCAAGAAUUGCUUUUCCAUUUUGCGUACCUCCGCGAGGUAUGCCUCCAUGUGCUCGUCCCUCGGCUCGUAUACCUUGUUGGAGAAGUUGACGAGAAGCUGCGAGUCACCCCUAAUGGUGAGGCGCUUCACCCCCAGGGCCACCGCAACCUUAAGGCCAGCUAUGAGGCCUUCAUACUCCGCGAUGUUGUGGAGACCUUCUCACCAUGCUGGAAGCAGAGCUGCAUGGCGUAGUAGAGCUUGUCCUGAGUAGGCGAGAUGAGCACUGCUCCAGCCCCCGCGCCCUGGCGUGCGAACGCGCCAUCGAAAUACAUAACCCAGCCGUCUAGUGUUUCGCUUCCCGGCGAGAGGGAUCGAUCCUCGCCUACUUCAAGCCCCGGGGCGUCCGUCCAUUCCGCUACGAAGUCGACGAGCGCGGCCCCCUUGAUUAACCUGGUUGUACUAAACUCCAACCGGAAUGCUUGCAGCUCGAUGUUCCACUCGGCGACUCUUCCAGCAGCGCUGGGGCUCCUGAGUACCCUCUCCAGUGGGUAGGCCGAGACGACCUUGAUUGGGUGACCUUGAAAGUAGUGUCGUAGCUUACGCGAGGCCACCAAGAGCGCGAGCAAGAGCUUCUGAGGCAUGGGGUACCGUGCCCUUGCAUCCCGCAAAACCGUGCUGACGAAAUACACUGGGUGCUCGACGAGGGCGGGCGUGUCAACGGGGCCUACGUCUGCCGGAGGUUGAGGCGCCUCCUGAGGCGAUGGAACCCCCGAAGACUGUUCGCUCAUUGGGGCCUCCGUAGGCCCAAGGGCGCCAUCUUGCUGAGCCUGGUUGUCUGUUGGCACUGCUGCAGCCCUUGUGGUGCCCUCCGGGUCUUGAAUCGCCCCAGCUGGGGGCGUGGCUCGGCGUGGCGCAUCCUUGACCUGGCGCUCUUCCCGAACCGCCACCAGAGCUGCGCUGGCAGAGUAAGGAGUGGCGGCGAGGUAGAGCACCAGGGGCUCGAGAGGGCGGGGCGCCACCAUCACCGGAGGGCUAGUCAGGUAUCUCUUGAGGUCUUGGAAUGCUUGGUCGGCCUCCGGGGUCCACUCAAAUGGGCCCUUCUUCUUCAUUAGCUUGAAAAAAGGUAGGGCGCGCUCUCCUAGCUUGGAGAUGAAGCGCCCUAGCGAAGUCACGCAGCCAGCAAGCUUCUGCAUUUCCUUGAGGGUUUGUGGUGGGCUCAUGUCGUCGAUCGCCUUGACCUUCUCUGGAUUGGCCUCGAUCCCCCUGUGGGACACGAGGAAGCCCAGUAGCUUGCCGGAAGGGACACCAAACAUGAACUUCUCUGGGUUGAGCCGCAAGUCCACCUGGCGCAAGCUCGCGAAGGUCUCCUCCAGGUCCUGAAUCAGAGUUCUCGCCUCUGAGACUUUACCACAAUGUCGUUGACUUAGGCUUCAGCGUUUCUCCCGAGCUGCUGACCCAGGGCGACGUGCAUCAGCCGUUGGAAGGUCGCGCCUGCGUUGCGCAGCCCGAACGGCAUGCAAGUGUAGCAGUACACCCCGCACGGGGUUAGGAAGGCCGUCUUCUCCACAUCCUCUACCGCCAUAUUGAUCUGAUGAUAGCCUAAGAACGCAUCCAGGAAGCAUAGCAGGUCGCACUCUGCGGUGGAGUCGAUGAUCUGGUCGAUGCGUGGAAGCGGGAACGGAUCUUGGGGGCAGGCCUUGUUGAGGUUGGUGAAGUCGACACACAUGCGCUCCUUCGCACCUUUCUUUGGCACAAUGACGGGGUUCGCCAGCCACUCGGGGUACCAAACCUCGCGAAUGACACCUGCUGCCUCCAGCUUGCAGGUUUCCUGGAUGAUGAAGGACUGCUUCUCCGUGAACUGUCGCCACGCCUUCUGCUUCACAGGGCGCACAUUGGGGCACACCCUUAAGUGAUGCUCAAUCACCCCUCUUGGGACCCCUACCAGCUGUUUGGGCUCCCAGGCGAAUACUUCCUUGUUUGCGCGCAAGAAUUUCACCAAUGCCUCCUCUUGAUCCGGGUCGAGGUUGGCACCUAUGGUGAAGGUGGCUCCAGAGGUCCCAUCUUCCUCAACAGGCACCUGCUUGGUUUCUGCCCGAUUUUGAGUGAACAACUUCUUCUUGGCCGGCGCGGCCUCCUUAACUCCAGAGGUGGCCUCGUCGGCCGGCCGUGCCGUCGCGGCGGUCUUGAGGGCAAGCUUGAGCGCUACCAAAGCCUCCUUGGUAUCUCCAACUACGGUGAGGACGUCCUUGCUCCCGGGCAUCUUCAUGAGGUUGUAGGCCGGAUGGGUCGCCGCCAUAAACUGAGCCAGAGCCGGGUACCCAAGGAUGGCGUUGUACGGGAGACCAAUGCGGGCGAUGUCGAAGUCGAUCAGCUCAGUGCGGUAGUUGUCGCGGGUGCCCAAGGUCACGGGUAGACGGAUCUGUCCCAGGGGGCUGGCGGAGCCGCCGCCGACCCCGGAGAAGGGCUUGCUGGGGUGGAGCCGCUCGAGCGGUACGUGAAGAAGGCUAAAAGCUUCCACAGAGAGCACGCUGAGGCCGGCGCCGCCGUCGAUGAGGGUCUUGGUGACGACCACACUGCAGAUGGUGUGCGUGCAAAGCAUUGGGAGCACGCCCGAGCCGACGGUGGUGCCAGGGUGGUCCCCCGAGUUGAAGGUCAGGUCGGCCUUGGGCGCCGCCCAACCCGGGGGAGCCCCCUUCCGCGCGGAGGCGACGCCGACCUGGCGAAAGAACGGCUUGGCGUGACGGUCCGAGGGCGGCGCUUGCGAGCCGCCGAGGGUGGCCGCGACGGCGAGGGGCGCCGGUGCCGCGAAGCGCGCAGCAAAGAGGCUGCGGAGCUCCUCCCAAGAUGCCACCGUAGAUCCCGUGAGGUUGAGCAGCCAGGCGCGUGGUGCAGCAGCGAGGGCCAUGGGAAGCCAACUGGCCAUGACCUUGUCGUCGCCCCCAUCCUUCAGGACGGCCUCUUCAUACGUCAGUAGGAUGGCCGACAGGUCCGCUGCGCCGUCGUAACGCGGCGGCAUCUCUGGCUUGAACUUGGGUGGCCACUGCACCCGCCGCAUGGCGGGGGUUAAGGCUCCGAGCCCCUGGCCCCGCCAUGGGCAUCCAUCAUCGCAGCCGGAAGAGCGACGUCGGCCAUGGGAGCAAGGCGUGGUGACGUCGGGGCGCGGAUCGACGGAAGGAAGGCUUCGGUGCACCCCUACCUGGCGCGCCAAAUGUCGGAUUUCGGGUUCCGGCAAAACCCGUGAGGUUCGAACACUGGGGUGUGCACGAAGAUCUCUCCUUCCUCUAGCUCACGCCCUCACCGCGAUCUCAAAGCUUAGCGCGUCGAAUCCACAGAACAAGAGACACAAGGUUUAUACUGGUUCGGGUCACCGUUGUGGUGUAAUACCCUACUCCAGUGUGGUGUGGUGGAUUGCCUCUUAGGCUGAGGAUGAACAGUACAAAGGAAGAACAACCUCCUGAGGAGAGGUGCUCCUGUGUUUGGUGAGUUCGGGUGGUUAAGGGUGAUCUGAAUGAUCCUCCCCUUUCUAAGAUGGCGGCUAGUCCUAUUUAUAGAGGCCUUCAUCCUCUUCUCAAAUAUUGAGCGGGAAGGGAUGCCACAGCGGCCAAUUUCGAAGGGAGACAACUAGUACAAGCUAUCCUGACUAAAGGUGGUCUUCGCCUGCCAAAGGCUCUGGCGGUGACGCCGUCUUGGGCUCCAUGGUGACCUCCGUCCUGCUGGUCUUGGUCUUGUUGCACCAAUAUGGAAACCUUUGCCUGAUGCCUCAGGACUCCUCGCCUGCGCUUGCCUCUUUAGCACCAAAGAGGAAACGAGGACACUGCACGCGCUGGCGCCCGCCUGACGCCCGCCUGGCCCUGGUCGUCAUGGCUUACGUCACAGGAACCUCGCGAGGUGCCCCUCGCCUUGAUCUCUUCGCCCCUCGCGAGCCAGCCUGGUGAGGUUGCCCCCGAGGAGGUCUUGCAUCAUCCGCCUCGCGAGGCUUGUCCCCUCGCGAGGGUCUUGAGUGUUUGCUGGUGAAGAUGGGCCGUACAGGGCCGCUGGUGGAGCCACGCCGCGAGCCGUAGGCAGGCAAGUCUGGGGACCCCCGUUCCCAGGACGCCGACAAUAACUGCUAUGGUCAUGGAAUAUACGAUUCAGUGGAAAACUCAUAUGCACGUAUAGAACGAUAAACGGUAAAAUAAGAUUCCUAGUCUCGCCUCUAAUACUACCUCAAGUGUUGUUCGUCAUCAUGUUUUUUUGGAUCUUGAGAUAUCAUUAAGAGUAACGUUAGUCUCAAAACAACAUUGAGAGUAUGACGUUAGAAGAACAAUCAUAUUGAAUCGACCCAAACCUGUUUGUUAUACUUUGAGAUAAUAUUGUCAUAACUCAUAAGUCAAUUGCUAUAACACAGAGUGUUAACGUGUGUUUAGUUCCUUAGACCAUGAGAGUAUUGUAGUCACUUCUUACCGUACAAUGUGUUGGGAAACUUUGCAUGGAAAACAAAAAAAUUCUACGUACACGCAAUGAUCUAUCCAUGGAGAUGCAUAGCAACGAGGGGGGAGAGUGUGUCUACGUCCCUCUUAGACCAUAAGCGGAAGCAUUUCUCAACGUGGUUGAUGUAGUCGAACUUCUUCGCGCUUCAACCGAUCAAGUACCGAACGCACGACACCUCCGCGUUCUGCACACGUUCAGCUCGGUGACGUCCCUCGCCUUCUUGAUCCAGCAAGACGUCGAGGUAGUAGAUGAGUUCCAUCAGCAUGACGGCAUGGUGACGGUGAUGGUGAAGUGAUCCUCGCAGGGCUUCGCCUAAGCACUACGAAAAUAUGACCGGGGUGUAAACGGUGGAGGGGGGCGCCGCACACGGCUAGGCAAUUGUCUGGGGUGUGCUAGGGGUGCCCCCCUCACAUAUAUAUAGGUGGGAGGGAGAUGAGAGAGGCCUGGAGGCGCCCCAAGUAGGACUGAAUCCUACUUGGGUUCCUCUUAGGCCGGCCGCCCCCUUCCUUAUUUACCGGAGUGGGAAGGAAAGAGGAGGGAGGAGGGAAGGAAGGGGGAGGCCGAAUCCCCCCCUUUCCUUCUCCCUUCCCCUCUUUUCCUUCUCCUCUGGUUCAGCCCAUAUGGGGGGAGCACCAGCCCCUGGUGGCUGGUGCGUUUCCCCUCUUGGCCCAUUAGGCCCAUAUCUUUUGCCGGGGGUGCCCGAAACCCCUUCCGGUGACCUGAUAUGUACCCGGUACCCCCGGAACACUUCCGGUGUCCGAAUACUAUCAUCCUAUAUAUCAAUCUUUACCUCUCGACCAUUUAGAGACUCCUCGUCAUGUCCGUGAUCUCAUCCGAGACUCCGAACAACGUUCAGUCACCGAAUCACGUAACUCAUAUAAUACAAUAUCGUCAUCGAACGUUAAGCGUGCGGACCCUACGGGUUCGAGAACUAUGUAGACAUGACCGAGACACCUCUCCGAUCAAUAACCAAUAGCGGAACCUGGAUGCCCAUAUUGGCUCCUACAUAUUCUAUGAAGAUCUUUAUCGGUCGAACCGUUAUGACAACAUACGUUAUUCCCUUUGUCCAUAGGUAUGUUACUUGCCCGAGAUUCGAUCGUCGGUAUCUUUAUACCUAGUUCAAUCUCGUUACUAGCAAGUCUCUUUACUCGUUCCGUAAUACAUCAUCCUGCAACUAACUCAUUAGUCACUUUGCUUGCAAGGCUUCUUAUGGUGUGUAUUACCGAGAGGGCCCAGAGAUACCUCUCGAUACUCGGAGUGACAAAUCCUAAUCUCGAUCUAUGCCAACUCAACAAACACCUUCGGAAAUACCUGUAGAGCAUCUUUAUAAUCACCCAGUUACGUUGUGACAUUUGAUGGCACACAAGGCAUUCCUCCGGUAUCCGGGAGUUGCAUAAUCUCAUAGUCGAAGGAAUAUGUGUUUGACAUGAAGAAAGCAAUAGCAAUAAAAUUGAACGAUCAUAAUGCUAAGCUAACGGAUGGGUCUUGUCCAUCACAUCAUUCUCCUAAUGAUGUGAUCCCGUUAUCAAAUUACAAGUCAUGUCCAUGGUCAGGAAACCUUAACCAUCUUUGAUCAACGAGCUAGUCAAGUAGAGGCUCACUAGGGACACGGUGUUUGUUUAUAUAUUCACACAUGUAUUUAGGUUUCCGAUCAAUAUAGUUCUAGCAUGAAUAAUAAACCUUUAUCAUGAAUAAGGAAAUAUAAAAUAACAACUUUAUUAUUGCCUCUAGGGCAUAUUUCCUUCACAAUUGGCUUUAGGGUUGCUCAAACGCCAUCUGUAACACGGUGGUCAUAAAGACAACUUAUAGGUUCAUCGAAAAGUUUGACAAGGGACACGAUAGCUCGAGAGUGGAAUUUUCUCCUCCGACGAUGGAGAGAUAUUCUUAGGGCCCUCUCGGUAUGAAGGCAUCCAUCAUCGUCUAGCCAGGCAUAGGUAACUACGUCACGGGAAUGCCGAAACAUGUCAAUGAGAAAGAAGAACAAAACUGGUAACGAGGAGACCGUUAUAGUGAGCAUGUGUAUGACAAUAUAUCUCACCUCGGGUUUCGUAAAGUAUGGCGAAGCAAAGGGAACGUAACAUGAUAACUAAAGGUUCACUCGAAUUUCAUUCAUGUAAUCAUAGGGAUCGAUAUGAACGUCCACGGUUCCGCUAUCGGCCAUUGAACGAAUGGGUUUCGUUCAUGUCUAUGAUGACCGAACCUACGGGCUCACAAGCUUAAGGUAAUCACGGUCUAUUGAGUGUUAGUAGGACAAGAGUAUCAAGGAUUUAUUUUUGUAAUUGUUUCAUUAAUAUUAGAAAUAGUUUCGAGAGGAACCGAAAGCGUUUCGGGGUCAUGGGAAGGGUUUCCAAGAAUAUUGGGCAAUACCUGGUAUUGCUGAUAAAUAAUAUAUAGGUGGAAAAUGUUUCCAGAGAUGUUAAAUUGAUAAUAAAAGGCUGUAGUAAUUGUUAGAAGGCUUUUAUAUUUAAUUUAAUAUCAUCGGGCCUUAAAAGUCCAAGCGGUGGAAGGAGUAUUGGCUACCAUGGCCCACAAGGAAGUGGCUCCUCCCUUUCCUAUCGGGAAGACCAAAUUGGAGGUGGGGGAGACUCCUCCCCCUUAGUUGGCGCACCAUGGUGGGGAUUUCCCUCCUUCGUGGUAGCCCCUCCCCCCCUCAACCUAUAUAUACUUGAGGUAUUGACCCUUUUGUGAACACAUUUUUUGGAGCCUCCUCUAGUUCAUCUAGUUCACCAACGCGUGCCCGAGCCGCUGACCCAGCCGCGCGCCUCGCCACCGCAGUGCCCCAUGCCACCGUCGCGCCCCCGACAAGCCGCGGCAGCCAGCACUGAUGGCCCCAUGCGAGGAGGAGGAGGAGGGGGAGGGGGCUCGCGCGACGCCGCUGGGGUUUGCCCGGAGGUGCCCUCCGGCGACAGGGAGAGAGGAGGAGAUGAGGGAAAAUAGAGGGACGGCUGGAGCUAGGGUUCUCCCAGCCGCCAUCGGUGGGAGCGAUGCAGUGUCUUCUCCAAUGCUUUUUAAAGAUUGGGCCACCAUCUUCUCCUGUAUUAUACCAUUUUUAAAAUUUCAUGGAAGAAAAAAAAAAUCCCAAAGGUUGUGCUCACUGUUGCUACGUGGUUGUGCUGCUUUUUUUUGUUAGGGAAAGCCUUCAUGGCACGCUCCAUGGAUUGCAAAACACAGUAACAUCAUCCAUAAGAUAAGGUAACAAAAAUCUUAGUAGUUCAUCG
rnacentral:lncRNA from 1 species